ACCUCGAUUUUAUGUUAUCUUUUGUCUUCCCUGGGACAUUCAAUAUUGUAUUCAUGAUGUUCUCAAAGAAAUUCUUCUCUAUAUGCAUCACCUCGAGGUUGUGGCGCAGAAAAAAAUCCUUCCAAUACGAAAAUAUACUCUUCUUGUGCCAGUUGUGAUGAACACCGUAAGAAUCAGGCAUAUUACGAGGGACAUGCUAAUUACCACCACAACGAAAUGUUUCGUUAGCUCCCUAGUAGUCGAUUUGCGCUUCAAUUUGUUCUCCAGUUAGAUAUGGAGGAGGAAUGUCUCUCACAACCAUUUUGUGCCUAAACAAAUUCUUUUUUCUUCGGUACGGAUGGCUAAUGGGAUGAAAUCGACGGUGAUAAUCGAACCAACUUGUCUUCCCACCAUUUUUCAGUUGAAACGCAUAUGUCGUUCCAUUACAAUAUGGACAAGCUAAUCUCCCAUGUGUAGUCUAUCCAGACAACAUCCCAUAAGCAGGAUAGUCACUUAUGGUUCACAAAAGCAUCGCUCGCAUCGUAAAAUUCGUCUUCGUUGAGCAGUUAUACGUCCUCACCCCUGUUGACCACAAAUCCUUCAACUCUUUUAUCAGUGGUUGUAGGAAAACAUCCAUAGACCUUUUUGGAUGGUUCGUACCAGGUAUUAAUAUGGUCAAGAAUAGCAACUCCUGUUGCAUGCACAUCUCUGGUGGCAGGUUGUAUGGCGUAAGAAAGACUGGCCACAAUGAAUAUUGUCUUCCUGGCAUUCCGAAUGGACUAAAUCCGUUUGUGCAUAAUCCGAGAUACACAUUCCGGCUAUUGCUAGCGAAAUCCGGAUGUACUUUGUUCAAAUGUUUCCAGGCUCUUGCAUCUGAUGGAUGAGUCAUCUCACCAUCCGUCUGAGUAUGCUCGGCAUGCCAUCUCAUCUUUCCAGCAGUCUGCUCUGAUUGGUACAAUCUUUUCAAUCUGUCUGUAAUUGGUAGGUACCACAUCCUUUGGUACGGUACCCUAUUACGUCCCCGUCCUUGCGGCUUGAAUCAUGGCUUCUUGCAGAAUCGACAUUUUUCUAGCUUCUCAUCAUCUCCCCAAUAGAUCAUGCAGUUGUCGAUGCAAACAUCUAUCAUCUCCGAAGGCAACCCAAGACUAUAAACCAGUUUCUGAAUCUCAUAAUAAGAAUCAGCAGACAAAUUGUCUUCCGGCAAAUACUCUUUAAACAAGUCUACCCAUUCAUUCAUGCAACUUUCAGGUAGAUUGUGAUCAGUUUUAAUAUUCAUCAUUCUAGCAGCCAACGACAAUUUAGAGAGACCUUCUCUACAACCGCUGUAAAGUGGCUGAUUCGCCGCAUUUAACAUUUCAUAAAACUUUUUUGCAUCUAUAUUAGGUUCUUCAUCUUCAUCAUGAGCUACGAAUGCAUCAGCUACCAUAUCAUGAACCCUAUCAUAUUAUACCAUCUGCUCUUCCUGAUGGUAACUAUGUUCAUUAUGCAAAUGAUGAUCAACCGGUUCUUUCUGAAAAUUGCUAUUACUACUACUAGCUUCAUUCUGAUCAUAAUUAUAACCUUCUCCAUGUUGAAAUCAAAUAUAGUAAUUUGGCGUAAAACUUCUAUUUAUUAAAUGCUUCCAAAUAUUUUCACCAUUUGUCAAUUUCGAAUUGUUGCAUUUCCGACAAGGACAUAACAUCUUACCACUUACUUGGGGAGCGGUGUGGAAUCUGCUUGAUGCAUAAAUGUCUCCAGCCCCGCAAGAUAUUCUUUCGUCACUCUCGCGUUAGCAUCUCUAUGCAUAUACAUCCACCUCCGCAACUCAAAAAUUUUCCCGGUGCCUGACAUUUUUUUUCUUUCACGUUUUUUUUUCUUGUUGGUGUGUUUAAAAUGAUGUUCAAAUUUCCAUAUUUAUAAGAAAUUUUUGAAUCUGGUAGUUGUUAUUUUCCUACGAAUUUACGACAAAAUCUAGUUAGGUGCCCGAAAAAAACGUGUUACAACUACAAAGUUGGUGGAUUCAAAAUUUCCUCGCUAGGUAGACGUAAAAUAUUUUCUCGUAAAGUACACGCUACAUUUACAUCAAGUUUACGAGGAAAUCGUAAUUCCUCGCAAAGGCUACGUGAUAUUACAUCUACUUAACGAGGAAAAGUAAUCGUCGUUAUUUUACGAGGAAAUAAUGCUGAUUUUAUUUUUCCUCGUAAGUUCCUCGUAAAGUCGACGUAAAUUUACGAGGAUUACUUUUCCUCGUUAAAUUUCCUCGCUAAACUUGUAAUUUCUUGUAGUGCUCAAUCGAACCACUAAGUACCAAAUGUCUGAAACAACUGACAUGUAUCCAAAUCGGCCACGCACAAGCCAAAACUCGGUUGCUACGUAGCGACCAAGCACACACACGGCUCGGUCACUACGUAGUGACCGAGCACGCACAUGGCUCGGUCGCUACGUAACGACUGGGUACGGACACGGCUCCGUCGCUACGUAGCGAUCGAGCUCGGUCGCUACAAAGCGACCGGUAGUGACCGAGCUCUCGCCAAGCCGGGUCACUACGUAGCGACCGAACACGCACACGGCUCGGUCGCUACGUAGCGAUCGAGCACGUACACGGAUUGGUCGUUACGCAGCGACCGAGCUCUCCCAAAACGUCGAUACAACAUGAAUCCAUGCAUUUUUGUCUACUCUUCAAUGCUAUCUGUCGUGAGUCAUGGCUAAACUGUUCUUUGUUUAUCGUCACUCGAAGUCAUCAGUCAAACUUUACGAUAAAAACCGCAGGAAAUUCAUUUUUAUCAAAGAAACCGUGAUAAACGUUCUGAGUCAAAGAACGGUCCAAAGAGACCUAAAACGCAGCUCAAAGCCCACUUACGAUUUCUUAACCAAAAACCCAUAAGUCUUAUGACGGUUUAUGCUUGGUUCAUAAGGCAAGAUAAAUGUCAAGUUUCCGCGGAUAAAUGUAAAGUUUCCGAAGAUAAUCACGAAGAUCGGAAAAAACAGAAUAUCUCCAUUUUUGAGCUAUGACGGCUUAAGGGUAGAAAGGGAAAGGCGCAAACCGACCUAAGAGCAAGUAUAUAAGGAGUCCUAGGCGAGAGGCAGAAAAAGAUACGCAUUACACAGCACACUCAGCAUUUAGAGCAAUUUAGGCAAUUUUCCGUUUUUGUUAUUCGAGCUGCGACUCAAUUAGGUUUUGCAGCUUUAGGGAUUUAGAACUAGGAAUCUCGUCGCUAGCUCUCGUAGCCCAGGCUCUUACCUUGUUGUAACGCUCAAACACGAAUUCGGAAUAAGAUCAACUUUGUUCUCUUUUCGAUUUCUUAUCUUUUAUCAUCUUUAUUUCGUGUUCUGAUUGAUUGGCGUGUGGUAUUAGCAGAUAUCCGGGACCUCUGGAUAAUUAGGGUUCUCCUACUUUCCUUAUUUAAACGGAAAUCGACAGUGUGAAUUUUGGUUCCCACAAUGUGCAUGUUCUUCUUUCCAAAUCAACAUGACAAUCAUAUAUGUCUCCUUUCACAAGCGAUCUGAAGUUGUCAAACUUGUAAACCUGGAAUCCUUUUGCCUUCACAAUUCUCCUAUCAAUCUUUCUCUCCACCUUAGCGGUUAAAGGAUCAAGAUGCUUUGAGCUUAACAAGCGACGCUCAUAGAACCAUCGAAUCAACAGUUCUCUUAUACUAUCAAGCAAAGGAAUAACCGGAUAUUCUCUAGGUAUUCUAAGAACUAAAUUGAUCGACUCUGCAGGGUUCGUGGUCCUAAUGUCAUACCUGGAGUCAUGGAAGAGAGAAUGAGCCCAUUUGCGCACAGCAGCCUCCCGUAAAUAUCUUCCAAGCUCAGGACUCCUAUCAAAAAUUUCGGUCAUACGUUUUUGAAAUUCAGUGUAUCUAUAUGCCCGUGAAGCCUUUUCCACCAAGGCAGUCAACCCUUUUGUCUUGAAAAAUGCAACCACAUUGGUCAACAAGUGAUGAAUGCAAAUUCCAUGUGCUGAUUGAGGGUAGACAGUCCCAAUCGCUUUAGAAAUAGACACAUUUCUAUCUGAGACAAAAGCUAGGUCUUGACAAUCAAUAAUAACCACUUUCAACUAUCUGAAGAACCACCCCCAUGAAUCGUCAUUCUCUGAAUCAACAACCCCAAAUGCAAUCGGAUACAAAUUAGAGUUGUCAUCUACAACAGUAGCAACAAGCAGAACUCCUUUGUAUUUAUUUUUCAGAAAAGUUCCAUCAACAACAAUCACCCUUCGCAUUGCAUUGUAAAAUCCUCUAACUGAUUGCCCAAAUGACAUAAAUAGAUACAUGAAUCUUUCUUUCUCAUUAGUUUCAUAGUGAGUAUGCGUACCAGGAUUAGCUUCUUUAAUCAUAUGCAAAUAUGCUAGUAUUUUAGCAUAACUGCGAUUUGGUAUACCUCUAGCAUCAGCAAUAGCAAACUCACGAGAUUCCCAAACGUGCCAAUAAGUAAUCUCACAACUAAGCUCCAAUCUCAUAAAUUGAAUGAUGUCAUUUGCUUUUGGGCCAUCGUUUGCAUCAUCAAAUCGAUGUUGUAUUAGAGUCCCAAUUGUUCUUGCCGAUGUUGUUUUUCCGAAUUUCCUUUUCUUUGAAGGAGCACAUGAAUGUCUUCCCUCGCUCUGGCUGAUAAUGAAAUAUGUAGACCCAUCUAUACCUUCUGCACGCACAGCCCAGUUGCACAUUGCAUCCUUACAUCAAAUAUACCACAAUUUUCUCGUGGAUUUGAAAAUAGUGUAAUCAAAAUUAUUCUUCAUCGCUAAAAUUUCCAUUGUUGCCUUCAGAACCCUUUACUUCUGAAAAUUUGAUCCUUCUUCACGAAAUCUCCUCUCCACGCUUGGCCAUCCUUUUCACUGUCUCCAUUGUUUUGACAAUCUCCAAUGAUUUCACUCCUUAAAGCAGCAUCACCGUAACCAUCCGCAGCGACAUGAUCCUUCCUUCUAACACAAGACUCUUUUGACGGCUUCACAAACUCUGCUCGAUUUAUCUCAGGAACUUCUUCAUCCUCAACAUUACUUGAAUCACAAGGCUCCUUAUUCAAAUCGAUAUUGACUCGUUCCUUUUGAUUUACACCAGAAACAGGGAACAUGACAUACAAGGUAGUAGACGAAUCCCUCUUUGCAUAGCCCACAAAAUUAGAUGCUUGCCGAUCAUUGGUGAUAAUAAUUGGAGAAUUCCCUCUUUGAUUCAACAACGAAUAACUGAGCUCGGCAUUAACGGCAUUAUGGUCCACCCCAUAAUCCUCACACACCAUGUCUUGAGCUGCUUCAACGUAGUAGUAGUUUCUAAUGUUACCAUUCGACCACGCCUUUCUUUGUCAACCACGAAACUCCACUCAUCACUACAACUAGACAUCCAUUCACCAGAUUUAACAUAGAUUAGAAGCGUGUUGUAUUGAUAGAGAAAAGAGAUGAUUAUGUUGAUGAAGAAGAGAGAAACACAAACAACGAAGAGAAAAAAUCGUGGGAGAAGGAGAAAAACGUGGGGAAAAAUAUUCUAUGAGAUAUUUAGGGAAGAUUUAGUUUAGAUUUAGGAAACGUCUUUAACCGAAUAUGGAAGUUUCCAUAUUUUCCGGAUUUCCCGUAGAAUAUAUAUUCUAGCUAACUCAAAACACAGUAGAGUAGAUGUGAAAUAUAUUCAUCCUUAAGCGCCACAUAAGGUAAAAACAGAACAUGUUAUGUCACAAAAUGUAGAUAAGGUAUAUCACUGCGUUGUGGCUAUAUAUCGUUAUCAAGCUGUAGGUAUACUGAAGACAUCUUUCUAGAAUAUAUAAGAAAUGCUAGUUUACGUUGUAUACCCAAGAUAUAUCUAUGUAUAAAACGUAGUAUCCAAUUUCUAGACUAAGUAGAUGACCAUAAUGAGUAUUCUAACUAUAGCUAGAAUAUAAAAUAAAAUAUGAUUCUACUUUAAAAAAAAACUUUUAAACAUAUAUAUUAUCCCAAUAGUUUUUAUAUUUUUUAACAUUUAUAAAAUUUAGUUUACUAUUUUUCCAUAAAAGAAGUGUAAAAUAUGUCUAGAAAUGUCUAAAAUAUGAGAAGUCCUAUUGUAAAUAAAAGUUAAUAGUUCAAAAUGUGUCAUUUUUCCAAUUUUCCCUUAAUUUAACCUCGCCCGACUAUUAAUUAUGGGAUUAGAAUACAUAUAAAUGGAAUAAGCAUAUAAAUAUUUAUUAGAUUUCUGAUACGGAAACUGAAUGUGUUACCAAUCUGAAAUUAAACUACAUUUUGUUACGGUCGGACCAAACAAUCUUCAGUGUAAAACAUCAUAUUUAUAGAACAAUCGCUAUGAACACGUUUCUGAUUAUCUCACAUUAGUUUUCUCUUAACAGCUACAAAAAGGAAGACGUUAGUGCAGCGAUAAGAGGAGAAGCUGCUAAUUCCCUGGACUCUGUAGACGUGUUUCUCUGAAAACAGAAGUGCCACCAGAACCAGCUGGUGAAGGUGAUGAAGCUAUGUAGUUUGUUCCUGACGCAGACACAGUGCCUCCUCCCGCAGCAGCACUUGGAUUCCCCGGUUGAGUUGGACCCACGCGUGGGCUCCAUCGAGAAGGAUGCGGAGCCUGAGAACACAGCAACAACAUUCAAUUCCAAAAUGCAAAACUACUCUACGACUAGGGCUUGAGCAAGAAGUAACUUUUGAAUGUAUACCAUAUUGUGCUGUGAAAAGGCGGCUGCUCUUCUGAGCGGAGAUUCAGAUGAUGAAGAAGCACCGCAUAGUCGAAGAACACUGGGAGUUUGAGCAUUAUUAUGAUUCCCUGCAUCAUUCGUCUCUCCGCCUUCCAUGUGAGUACCAGCAUUACCUCCAGAGUCAUUAGAGACAUCUACAUGGAGUGGAAGAGAAGGACGAGACGAUGUUGUUCCUGGCUGUUGCGUGAUGCUGCUGCGCCUUUUCAAUUCUUCCUCAGCAUUCAGAAUCUGUGAACAUCCGUCAAUUUUGACAUGAAUAAUAACGAUAAACAGCAUGUGUAUUGACAUAGCAGAAAGAAAGUGCACUGACCAGCUUAAGAACUUGGACGAGAUUGUGUUUCUUUGCAUUCAACACUUGUAAUCUCUCCUCCACUUGUUUCUCUUCUUUCUCUAUUUCGCUUGGUACUACUUCUUCAGCUGUUUCCUUUGCCUUGUGAAAACACAACAAUAAAGCUAGACACGAUAAGGACUCAACUGAUUGGUGUCAAUCUAAGGUAAGAUAACGAAACAACCUCAGAGAAAGCUUACAACUUUACGAGUUCAUGAAAGCCCCAAACUGAUAACUCUGUUGCAACUAACGCUACUUGAGGAGGGCGGGCACACAUCAAAGUAAGUUUCAUCAAAUCAGUUCACCUAAAAUUAGCAACCUUUCCUAAUCUCCUAUGUACUUCAUCGAACCACUAACACUUGUACUCAAAAUCUAUUGGAAUGUCUCAAAGAAGCAUACCUCCGCCUUAUGAUUCGCGGCUUCCUCGUGUGGUAAAUUAUCGGUUUCAUUAUUCGAUAGCAAUUCCAUCACUCCAUCUCCACCCCCCGAUCCUCCUGCUCGAGCUCCUUCAAUUCUGACAUUAUCCUCUUCCCUAACCUGAUUCCCACUAACCUCCUCUCUCUUCACCUCAACAAGCUUCUGUUUCCCGGACGAACCGGGCCGUUCAGAUGGAAUCGCAUCCUUCCGAUCCGUAGCCUGCUCAGACUUGACGUUAUGGCUCGGGUUAGGGUUAGGGUUAGAAUUAGGGGAGAGACGAGAAAGAGCUCGCUUGCGGCGGUGAAGGAGAGAUUUGAAGUCUUUGAAAGAGAGGUUGCGAUCCGGCAUCGUCCAGCGGCGAGGCACGUCGGGAACUUUGUGAAGGUUGCCUCUGUACAUGGAUAUCGCCACCAUCUCUUUCUUUUUUUCUUUUUUGGGUUCCGUCGUCGAAUUCGCCGUUUCGUUCUGCUACCGUGAUCCUAUGACGAAGGGAUUUCGAGUUGCGUGAUGUUUUGCUAUGCGAGAUGAGAAACGUGCGCCGUUUCUGUACACGAAAUUUCUAUGAUUGUAUUUAAGCCGAUGGGAAAGCCCACAAAUGUAUGUUUAAAGCCCAUUUACUAUCCAAUUUUAUUAUUAUUUCUUAAAUGUUAUAUCUAUCUAUCUUUUUUUUUUAACGAACAACAAAAACUAUAUCUAUAAAAAGUGAAAAUUCCCAAAAAAAUAGCUGAACUAAUUUACAUUUGCUAAAAAAUAUUUAAACAAUUUUGGUUCAUUUUUUAAAGGUUGAUAUCAUCAGUUUAGCGGUUUAAACCUUUCGAUUUUUCAGAAGUAUAAGUAUUAAUUGGCUAUAAAAUUAAAAUAAGUUAUAUAUUAUAUAGAAAGUCAAAAUAGUUUAUGUAUUUUUGAGAAAAUAAAAAUUAAUUUAAAUAUUUUUUGGUAAUUUCAAAACCAAGAAAAAACAUGAAAAUUAAGAGAUUUUGUUCUUCGAUCCGAUUUAAUUAUUUUCAAGGUUUUAGGUAGUUUAGGUUUUUAAAACUCUUAUUGAAAUUAACUGACUGAAAAUAUGAUUCAGUUUUUGGUUCUGGAUGAUAAAUUAUUGACCAAAGUUAACUGAUUCUUGGUAUUUUGGUUAAAUUAUUGCUAAAUUUGAUUAGUUCAGUUCUUUUGCUCAGAUAGUGUAUGUUUUGUAACAUUUUGGUAUACCUUGAUAAAAUUUGGUAUCCAUUAUUAGAAAACUAUAUAUUUUUUUAAAGCCGAGUUUUAUUGCAGAACAAAGUGUUUGUUGGAUCCACGAUCAAGAUUAUCGGUUUCAUUAAAAAAAAAUUUAUUAUCCGAUAAUCAACUUUCAUAUCCUCACAAUGUAUAUUAAAUCUGAAAUAAUAUAAUUAUUACCAUUUAUUAUCCAAUUUUAUUAUUAUCUCUUAAAGUUAUAUAUAUAUCUAUCUUUUUUUUCUGAACGAACAACAUCUAUACUAUACUAAAAGUUGCAUAUCCUCAAUAGAGAGGGUGUCCACCUCAGCUAGAAAAAUCAACCAAUCAUAAGCUUUCUUUAUGCCACUUCACAUCCUUCUUUGUCGACAUUGAAUUGCAAAUAGGCCUAAUAUUUUGGGUUUAUAAAAUUUGGCUGUGGCCCAUUUGAAACCUUUCUUACUCUUUCUUAGUCUCUUCCCUCGCUCUGGCUGAUAAUGAAAUAUGUAGACCCAUCUAUACCUUCUGCACGCACAGCCCAGUUGCACAUUGCAUCCUUACAUCAAAUAUACCACAAUUUUCUCGUGGAUUUGAAAAUAGUGUAAUCAAAAUUAUUCUUCAUCGCUAAAAUUUCCAUUGUUGCCUUCAGAACCCUUUACUUCUGAAAAUUUGAUCCUUCUUCACGAAAUCUCCUCUCCACGCUUGGCCAUCCUUUUCACUGUCUCCAUUGUUUUGACAAUCUCCAAUGAUUUCACUCCUUAAAGCAGCAUCACCGUAACCAUCCGCAGCGACAUGAUCCUUCCUUCUAACACAAGACUCUUUUGACGGCUUCACAAACUCUGCUCGAUUUAUCUCAGGAACUUCUUCAUCCUCAACAUUACUUGAAUCACAAGGCUCCUUAUUCAAAUCGAUAUUGACUCGUUCCUUUUGAUUUACACCAGAAACAGGGAACAUGACAUACAAGGUAGUAGACGAAUCCCUCUUUGCAUAGCCCACAAAAUUAGAUGCUUGCCGAUCAUUGGUGAUAAUAAUUGGAGAAUUCCCUCUUUGAUUCAACAACGAAUAACUGAGCUCGGCAUUAACGGCAUUAUGGUCCACCCCAUAAUCCUCACACACCAUGUCUUGAGCUGCUUCAACGUAGUAGUAGUUUCUAAUGUUACCAUUCGACCACGCCUUUCUUUGUCAACCACGAAACUCCACUCAUCACUACAACUAGACAUCCAUUCACCAGAUUUAACAUAGAUUAGAAGCGUGUUGUAUUGAUAGAGAAAAGAGAUGAUUAUGUUGAUGAAGAAGAGAGAAACACAAACAACGAAGAGAAAAAAUCGUGGGAGAAGGAGAAAAACGUGGGGAAAAAUAUUCUAUGAGAUAUUUAGGGAAGAUUUAGUUUAGAUUUAGGAAACGUCUUUAACCGAAUAUGGAAGUUUCCAUAUUUUCCGGAUUUCCCGUAGAAUAUAUAUUCUAGCUAACUCAAAACACAGUAGAGUAGAUGUGAAAUAUAUUCAUCCUUAAGCGCCACAUAAGGUAAAAACAGAACAUGUUAUGUCACAAAAUGUAGAUAAGGUAUAUCACUGCGUUGUGGCUAUAUAUCGUUAUCAAGCUGUAGGUAUACUGAAGACAUCUUUCUAGAAUAUAUAAGAAAUGCUAGUUUACGUUGUAUACCCAAGAUAUAUCUAUGUAUAAAACGUAGUAUCCAAUUUCUAGACUAAGUAGAUGACCAUAAUGAGUAUUCUAACUAUAGCUAGAAUAUAAAAUAAAAUAUGAUUCUACUUUAAAAAAAAACUUUUAAACAUAUAUAUUAUCCCAAUAGUUUUUAUAUUUUUUAACAUUUAUAAAAUUUAGUUUACUAUUUUUCCAUAAAAGAAGUGUAAAAUAUGUCUAGAAAUGUCUAAAAUAUGAGAAGUCCUAUUGUAAAUAAAAGUUAAUAGUUCAAAAUGUGUCAUUUUUCCAAUUUUCCCUUAAUUUAACCUCGCCCGACUAUUAAUUAUGGGAUUAGAAUACAUAUAAAUGGAAUAAGCAUAUAAAUAUUUAUUAGAUUUCUGAUACGGAAACUGAAUGUGUUACCAAUCUGAAAUUAAACUACAUUUUGUUACGGUCGGACCAAACAAUCUUCAGUGUAAAACAUCAUAUUUAUAGAACAAUCGCUAUGAACACGUUUCUGAUUAUCUCACAUUAGUUUUCUCUUAACAGCUACAAAAAGGAAGACGUUAGUGCAGCGAUAAGAGGAGAAGCUGCUAAUUCCCUGGACUCUGUAGACGUGUUUCUCUGAAAACAGAAGUGCCACCAGAACCAGCUGGUGAAGGUGAUGAAGCUAUGUAGUUUGUUCCUGACGCAGACACAGUGCCUCCUCCCGCAGCAGCACUUGGAUUCCCCGGUUGAGUUGGACCCACGCGUGGGCUCCAUCGAGAAGGAUGCGGAGCCUGAGAACACAGCAACAACAUUCAAUUCCAAAAUGCAAAACUACUCUACGACUAGGGCUUGAGCAAGAAGUAACUUUUGAAUGUAUACCAUAUUGUGCUGUGAAAAGGCGGCUGCUCUUCUGAGCGGAGAUUCAGAUGAUGAAGAAGCACCGCAUAGUCGAAGAACACUGGGAGUUUGAGCAUUAUUAUGAUUCCCUGCAUCAUUCGUCUCUCCGCCUUCCAUGUGAGUACCAGCAUUACCUCCAGAGUCAUUAGAGACAUCUACAUGGAGUGGAAGAGAAGGACGAGACGCUGUUGUUCCUGGUUGUUGCGUGAUGCUGCUGCGCCUUUUCAAUUCUUCCUCAGCAUUCAGAAUCUGUGAACAUCCGUCAAUUUUGACAUGAAUAAUAACGAUAAACAGCAUGUGUAUUGACAUAGCAGAAAGAAAGUGCACUGACCAGCUUAAGAACUUGGACGAGAUUGUGUUUCUUUGCAUUCAACACUUGUAAUCUCUCCUCCACUUGUUUCUCUUCUUUCUCUAUUUCGCUUGGUACUACUUCUUCAGCUGUUUCCUUUGCCUUGUGAAAACACAACAAUAAAGCUAGACACGAUAAGGACUCAACUGAUCACUUUACGAGCUCAUGAAAGCCAAACUGGUAACUCUGUUGCGACUGAUGGUUUCAUAUAUCCAAAACAUCCAUUAAUGCGCACAUCAAAGUACGUUUCAUCAAAGCAGCCACUUACAUUGAUGAAUUCACUUAAAAUUAGCAACCUUUCCUAAUCCCCUAUGUACUUCAUCGAAUCACUAACACUUGAACUCAAAAUCUAUUGGAAUGUCUUAAAGAAACAUACCUCUGCCUUAUCAUUCGCGACUCCCUCAUUAUUCGAUAGCAAUUCCAUCACUCGAUCUCCACCUCCUGCUCGAGCUCCUUCAAUUCUGCCAUUCUCCUCUUCCCUAACCUGAUUCCCAUUAACCUCCUCUCUCUUCACCUCAACAAGCUUCUGUUUCCCCGACGGACCGGGCCGUUCAGAUGGAAUCGCAUCCUUCCGAUCCGUAGCCAGCUCAGACUUGACGUUAUGGCUCGGGUUAGGGUUAGAGUUAGGGUUAGAAUUAGAAUUAGGGGAGAGACGAGAAAGAGCUCGUUUGCGGCGGUGAAGGAGAGAUUUGAAGUCCUUGAAAGAGAGGUUCCGAUCCGGCAUAGUCCACCGGCGAGGCACCUCGGGAACUUUGUGAAGGUUGCCUCUGUACAUGGAUAUCGUCACCAUCUUUUCUGGGUUCCGUCGUCGAAUUCGCCGUUUCGUUCUGCUACCGUGAUCCUAUGACGAAGGGAUUUCGAGUUGCGUGAUGUUUUGCUUUGGGAGAUGAGAAACGUGCGCCGUUUCAGUACACGAAAUUUCUAUGAUUGUAUUUAAGCCGAUGGGAAAGCCCACACAUGUAUGUUUAACGCCCAUUUACUAUCCAAUUUUAUUAUUACUAGAUGGUAUGUCCUCGCUACUCCCGGAAAAUGUUUUAGUUUGAAUGCGUUUGAAUUGAGGGCUUCUUUGUAAAUCAUGUCUAGAAGCCGAAGUUAUUAUUAUUGUUAUUAAAAGCAAAUACUAAGGUCUUAAGAAGAAAAGUAUAAAUCAUAGACAAUGUGGUGGACUUUUGAAGAAGCGGCCUUGUAGAUGUGAUGGUCUUCUUGAAUGGGGGCCUGAAAAUUUUGUAAAGUAAAUAAGGAAUCCAAACCUACUAAAAUGAGUCUUUAUAUUAUUUAUAGUAUAAUAAGACUUACCUUGAAGUAGUUAUAUAACGAUCACCAGGUGAAGGUCUACCUCUCAUUUAUCACUGUUGACCGCUAUAACGCUGAAUAGCAGAUAAAAAUGAACUUUUAGAUAAGUAGUCACUGAAAAUAUUUGGAAUUAGGUUUUAAAGUUGGAAUUUUACUUACUUUCAUGGGAACGAAGACAGUUAAAGAUCUCUUUGUAAACUAUGUUCUUCACUUUUUGUGGAUGCUAAUCUCUCGCUUUAAUGAUUUUUAGUCCUGAUUUGCUUGUUACACGUGGGAGAGUCACAUAAAGUUGCCCAUGUGUGAACACUGGUUUAGGCAGAUAUAAGAGAACCUCCUUUAAACUUUGUCCUUGACUUUUGUUGAUUGUCAUUGCGUAACACAAUCUGAUAGGAAAUUGCUUACGACGUAAGGUGAACGGUAACUUUGUUUCCUCAUGCAGGAGAACAAUCUUUGGGAUCAAAACUUCGUGUCCAACGUGUGAGCCAGUGACUAUGUCUGCCUUAAGCACUCGUUCGCCUACGUAGGUUAGGAUCAUACGGGUACCGUUGCAUAAUCCUUUUUUCUGAUUUAUGUUUCACAGAAGCAUAACUGGGGCCCCAACUUUUAGAGUGAGUUUAUGAGAAGGCAAUCCUGAGUAUUCCAGAGAAUUGAGAUACUCAAUCGCAUAUAAGGCAUCAUUUUGAUCAGAUUGAGUAUCUGAAAUCUCAAAACUAUCGCAGCUGAAGUAAUCUCUUGAUUCUCCGUCUGUGUUAGAGAUUGUGUAUGCAUUGAUUUCAUCAACUGUUUCAUUGCGGGGAGUGAGGAUAGCUCUAUCGGUGUAAGAGCUUUGAGAGAUCUUUAUUUUGUUGAUGUCUCCAUAUGCGGCCUCAACAACUUGUUUUAAAGGGUCAUCUAUCGUCUGUUGAACCAAUGAGUCGUCGACAGUUAUCAUUUGCUCAUGGUAACCAUCAUCUUCAUCUUCUGCUGAUGAUUGUGGUUGACCUUCCCCGACUUUAAGCAGCCACUCUGAGAACUCCUUCUCGUCCUGAUUGACUCGCAUAUUUAUUUUUAAAGAGAACUUGUGGCAUCUAUCCCAAAGAUAGGAAUGACUUAUUGAAGCUAAGACAGUAUCAGCCCUACUUCCUUGUGGAAUUACUGGUAAAAUCUGUCUAAAAUCACCACCCAACAAAACUAUUUUUCCACCAAAAGUCAUAUCCUUUGCACGAGAAUUUUUCUUGGACAUUAUAUCCUUCAACGUCUUGUCUAAUGCUUCAAAAGCAUGCUUAUGAGUCAUAGGUGCCUCAUCCCAAAUUAUGAGAUCCGUUUUCUCGAUUAGCUCAGCUAGCAUUGUACCUGGUUUGAUGUUGCAUAGCUUGUCUUCAGAAAGCUUCAAAGGAAUAUUAAAGCGGGAAUGAGCUGUUCUUCCGUUAGGUAGGAGAAAUGCGGCUAUCCCUGAAGACGCAACCGGUAGAACGAUUUGUUUUCUAGAGCGUAGUCUGGAUAUAAUGGUUUGGUAUAGGAAUGUUUUUUCUGUGCCCCCUGCGCCAUAAACGAAGAAUAGUUUUCCGUCCUUUUUCUCAACGGAGUCUAAGACUGAUUUGUAAAUCGCACGCUGAUCAGCAUUAAGAAGGGUGUACUGUGUGUCAUGUCUCAAAGUUUCCUCUGCAACAUCAUAAUCCAUUUCUUGGGUCCACAAACUGUUCCCCAAUUCUUUUAGCAAAACAGGUUGGAUCUUAGGCAUACCUUUAAUAUCACUUAUCGAGCGGUCAUGCAUCCGCAUCAACUUUUCCACUUCGAUUAAAGUGUAUUUCUCAAGGGUCUCAUCGUCCAGUUCUAGAUUUGAGUGACCUAAAAAUCUUUGUCUCUUGCGGAGUAUGUCAUCACUCAUUGAUUUCCAUGAUUGUUCCCAUAAUAUUUUAGGGCUCACAACAAAGCAAUGGUUCAGGAAUGUGACAAACAUAUCACGGAUUUGGAAUGGGAUAGCCGUUCUAGAAGCCUCUAUCAUACUCUCGAUCCAUUCGACAUCGUUGUCCAAAUAGCCUCGUGCGUAGCAAACCGAUUUGAAAUCAGGGUAUUUAACAUCGUUAAACGUUUUGAGCUCAUCAUAACUUCUAGGACCCUUGAUCUUAUUUAUGAGAAUUCUUAAGUAGUAACGAUCACCUGCCGAUGGGUGAACAACUACGAUUCUCCCAAUGGCUUUUCCUUUCUUACGUUCAGACCAGACUUUGGUAUUGUUGUUCCAUACAAAAUAUUCCGGAAUUUGCACGUAAGUUAAUGUCCGUGCAAAAGCUGACCUUCUGCAUAUGACCAUCCACUCAGUGAACAUUGUCUUCUCAAUAUCUGGCUUGCGGACUACGCGCCCGAGGUUAUCAGUAUCCUUAAUAGUGAUGUUAUGUUCACCUUUUAAGUGAAUGAUAAGCUUCUCAACUGAUGGCUUUCUUUUGUGUAUAUGGAAUGCAAACGUCCGCCACAUACCCUCACAAGCUGAUAACUACCGCGCAUCAAUGAACUCUUGGAUCUCAUUUUGUUGCUUGAUUACUCUCUCCUUUGGCUCGCUAGAGGAUGCUAAGCUAGAUGUAGAUCCCGUAUUCCCAUGCUCAAUCACUGCGGAAGCUCUGUCAACACCCUUGGUUAUGUACUUGAAUAAGUACUUCACAGCACUUGUUCGAUUACACCAUUCAACAUUAAUAUGAGCUUCGUACUUCUUCAAGAGCUUCAAGUUAUGAGGUACAACAAAAUUGUUGUUUAAGAUUUGUCCAUCCUUCAGUACAGACGCAUUCUCGUUUUGCCGCCGACGAUACAAUACAUACCCUGAUUUAUCAAUUGAAGUAUUGUCAUUAUACGGCCGAGGAAACUUUUUUGUGCACACAUUAUUAUCCAUACAUGGUGACUUCGGAUUAAUAACACCACAUGGACCAUGAAUCAUGUGUUUUGGUACUAAAUUGUAACCUUCAGGGUCUUCUUCCUUGUUUGGAAGCUCAGCUGAAAUAUCUCAUCUACUUCCUCUGCACUUGGUGUUCUAGAAGAGUUUCCAAACCACAAUAGUAUAUGUGCAUGAGGGAGUCCUCUUUUCUGAAACUCUAUCCUGUGGAGAGCAGCCGUGUAUGGCUUGAAGUAAGUUCCUUUUUUGAAAUCCUUGAGGAGCUGGUCUAACUUCAUCUUAAAGACUCGACACUCAAUGUCUGGUCUAUCAUUGGGAGAGUCUCCACCAUACUUCAUAAGAUGCUCUUUAAUCUCUCUCCAGUUGCGAUUGGCCGUCAUUGUGAUAAACAAAUCUGGAUUCCUAUAUUCUCUGCAAAUAGCCAUCGCAUCAUGAUAUUUUUUAACUAAGUAUCGGGGCCCACCGGUGAAACUUGGGGGCAGUAUGAACCUCUGUCCAAUAAUUUUAGCAUUAGUAUCACCCUUGCUGACAGCGUCGAGUACAUUAUUGUAGAGCUCGGCUCUCAGUAUAUCUUGAUUAUUCCUUGCCCACCUUAGUCGAUCUUCUUCAAUCGCUGUAUAGAUGUCAAUAAUAUACUGAUGGAGUAGACGGCCGCCUAUAAUCAAGGUCAGUCCUUGGUUAAGACGGGUCUGGAUCUGAGCGGCAUAGAACUGGCGGAUAGUCAGGAAUUUCCUUGUUCUUGAAGUGCCUGUCUCAAGAUGUAAUGGGAUCUCUGGAUGAAAAUCGUACUCUCCAUAGGGAAACAAAAGAGGAUAUUGUAGGGUCAUGUACAAAGGGUGAUCAUCACGUAUCUGCUGCAAAGUGUCAGAUUGAAAUUGGACCACUAUAUCUCGUUCUCCAAUUGUUGAUGACAUAUCCCCUACAAUAAGACCUGCGACCUCAUCUGUACUCGGAAGAUCGUACUCUUUCCCUUUCCCUUUAUCUGGGAGCAAUCUGAUUUUAAACUCCUUCCCAACACUUUCGUAAUAGUCUCGUGCCCGUCGGAAAAUCUUGGCUAAGCAAUUAUUCUUGUCAAUCAUCCUGAUGAGGCGCUCUAGGGUUGCUUCAUCAAGAUUACCAUCUGUUGAGGAUUGCCCCAUUGCAUUUAGUCUGUUUCUGACUUCAUUUCCCGUAUCAAAAAUAUAGAGUUGGAGAUAUUCUGGGAGACGACCUUGUUGGGGUAUAAGGGAACCAAUCUUGUGGUGAGUUUGACCCUGUAUCCGUAUGGUGUAAGGACCAGGUGUACGAACCACACUAUAAUCCAUUUUCAUUCCAACCGAUGUAAAAGCCAGUACGGAAUUAUAGACUCUGAUAGUAUCUCGAAACCACCUAAGCUGGAGAAGUUCUUCUAAUAGAGCUGGGGGUUGCUUGAUAGGCGGAAGUCUGAUUUGGCCAUGGUUACAGCAAAUAGUGAACGUCGGUUCUCCUGUUUUGGAGUCUGUACCAGUGCUCUCCGAAGUCCACAUAAGAGCAUUGCAUUUCGAGCAUGCUACGAUUGGGUUUUCUUCGGUUUGAGAUGUCGAACCUUUGUCUGAGUAAUUUUUUUGUUAAGAAUUGUUAAAUCCUAAGUUUUUUAUUAUUAUAAAAAUUUGCCAGAGUUCUAAAAUUGAUAACCUAUAUUGGGGGUGAUUGGUUGGGUUGUAGGAAGUGAUUUUAGCUUCAAUUUUCAUCUACAACAUUAAAUACUACCAAUCAUGCUUUAUCUUAGUUUUUAAAGUUACAGCCAAAAAACUAAAGUUACGGCAAAAACAUACAAAAAUGGUUGCAAAAAUCUUAUUUUCUAAAGCUCCAUCUUCCUUAAAGCUAAAUCAAAAAAAUCUACAGACUAAAUUUUAAAGUAAUUUUUUUACAGUUACAGCCCGACCAAUCACCCCAUUAUUAUUAGAAAUUUUGGAAUUACAGGGUUUAAAAUAUGCACCUUUCUUUUUUGCUCGAGUGUGACGUAUUACACGGGUUUGUUGUGGAGAAUCUGCAUUUAUGCAUAAACACUGCAUAUUAGAAUAAAUGUAUUAAAUCUUUGGGGGAUUUUUUUAGGUAUAAUGCUUACCUUGCGAUCGUAUUGAGUAUCGUUUUGACAUCAAGAUAGUUUUUCUCAUAUCGCGUGCAUUUUUUGCUUGACUAUUAAGAGAAAAAAUAUUAGUUAUAAAGGAAAUAAAGUAGGAGAUACACAUUAUAGGCUGCUAUCUUACUGUAAGAGUUGCAGUCAUCGCAUCCACCUAAUUGAUUAAAUGCGUAAAAUCAGUUUGUUUGAUGAAUAGUAUUGUAUAAAUAUAAUAUCAGAAUUCAUACAAACUUACAGUCAUAGUAUCUUGGUUUGAAUGUUGGUCGAUCAUUAAUCAUAUGAACUGAAAAUAUACAUAAUUUUAGUAUUAUGAUGAGAAAAUGAUGAUUUUAUUCUUACAAUUAUUUUUGAGAAUAUCGACACACCUUUUGGUUUUGUACGUGAUCCACGGGGACGACCUCGUUUCCUUUUUUGCGAGUGUCCACCUGAAUUAUUUGCAUAGUAAAACCAAUUAGCUGUUUAUCCUAAAUUAGCAAAAAGUCUAAUAAUUAACUUACACUGAUACUUUAAUGUUAUUUGUGAUCUGAUGUAUAGUAUUAAUUGUAUUUGAUAUUUUUAUAGUCAUUUUAAACAUGUAUUUAUAUACAUAUGUAAAUAUAUGUAUUUAUAUACAUAUGUAAAUAAAUGUAUUUUUGUAUAGAUUUUUAUGAAUGUAAAUAAUGCAUGAUUUUUUAAUAUAUAGUACCAAUUAAUAUAUAGUAACAAUUAGUUGGAAUAUAGUUAUGAUUAUUCAUGUGCUUACUAAAAUAUGUCUGAUUUAAAUAUGAGGUUUUAUCUGGUUUCAACCAUGCUAUUUAUUUAAAAAUAGUUCAUAGCAAACUAUUGAUUGUAAAAGGAGACGUAUUCCCUGUAAUAAUUGCUUACCUACUACGUUUUCGAUCAAUGUUUUGGGUGACGCAAAUACUUGUUACUAAUAAUCUAUACUAUUAUUUAUGAAGUGAUUUAACUUAUUUGUCAUGAUUUCCAUGAUUUUAAGUAAUUUUGCAUAUUUAUCCUGUUUUGAUUAGGUUUAAGUUGGGUCAUUAAUUUAUUAAUAGUUUUUAGUUGAAUCCAUAAUUUAUUAAUUUAAAUAAUAUGACUAUAAAAUAUGUAAUUAGAUUUAUAAUUAUUUUGAUUCUGCUUAUGUGUCAUAUUUUCCAUGAUUUUAGUCAAUUUUGCUUAUUUGUCAUGUUUUUAUUAGUUUUUUUGCUUAGUCAUUGAUUUAUUAAUAAUUUUAUGCUGAAUCACUAAUUUAUUAAUCUAAAAAAUAUCCGUAAUUAAUUUUAUAUAUAAUUAAAAACGAAUUUUGAUUAAAUAAUAUUUAAAUGUAUAUGUUAUAUUAAAAUUCAUAUUUUCUUAUUUGUCAUAUUUUAUUAGGUUUUAAAAUUUUAUAUAGGUCAUUAACUUAUUAUUAGUUUUUAGCUGCGUAUUUAUUAAUUUUCAAAAAACCCGUAAUAAAUUUUAUAUAUAGUAAAACAUGUAUUUUAUUUUAAUAAUAUUAAAUUUAUAUGUUAUAUUAAAUAACUAAUUAUAAACUAAUAUAAUAAAAUUGUGAAAAUAUUUUUAAAAAUUAUGAGAAUUAUUAUAUAUAUUGUGUUUCUAUCUGUAAACAAUAUUUUUUACUAUAACACUACAAGAAAACAGCGGUAUUCUGACGGACAUUCCGACGGAAAAUGAAAUCGUCGGAAUAUACCGAGGAAUUUCCGAGGAAAUUCCGAGGAAACACAAAAUUGGGGUUCCUUGGAAUUUCCUCGGAAUAUACCGACGGAAUUCCGAGGAAACCUCAGUCCGUCGGAAUAUUCCGAGGAAAUUCCGAGGAACAAUGUGUUCCUCGGAAAAAACCGAUGAAUUCCGAAUUGUCUGGGUCCUCUCUCUAAACAAACUUCUAGUAAGAAGCCAAUAGAGAUUAUACAACAGGAUUGAUUGCUUAAGGUAUGGCUAAAAUCUAUUUUAAUUGAUUUUUUAAUUUUUUCUAUUUUGUAAAAAUAUCGAUUUGAUUCAUAUGCACAUACGUCUCACAGAAACAUCGUUUCUCUAUCUGAAAACAUGUUCUAGCUAGAUAGGUGAUCAAUUUGCUUUAAUUUAUCUUUGUUUUUCAUCAGCAUAUAAUACGAGCUGAUAACCCCGUUUCCAUAUUCUUAUAGUUAAUUAAUCUCAUUAGUUUUCAGAAAUUUUUUAAAAUACACCGUUGUUAGUCAGUUAUAUUUUUUUAUUUUUUUUAUAUAUAUUCACAUGGAGAAGAUGUCGAUGCCAUGCGCUGCUUGCAAGUACCUAAGGAGAAAAUGCACACAAGCCUGCGUGUUUGCACCUUACUUCCCACCUAACAAACAGGAAGAUUACGCAGCGAUCCACAAGGUAUUCGGAGCAAGCCAAGUGACUAAAAUUCUCAACGACCUUCACCCAAGCCAGAGACAAGACGCCGUGACCUCUCUCGUUUAUGAGGCACAAACUCUUCUCCUUGACCCGGUCCAUGGCUGUUCUCCUCACGUUUACAACCUCCAGCGUCAGCUCAAAGACCUUCAGGACCAGCUUCACAUCGCCAGGAACGAGCUCGCCUCUUACAAUAAUAUCGUCCCACCGCUAGACCUACCUCCUCCGAUUACGUAUCAGCAAAACCAUCACAACCCUAUGUUGAUGCCUGUUGUGUCUAAUUAUGAUGGUCCGUUAACUCAACAGUUACAUGAAGAGGCUCAUCGGGUUGAAUCUGAAAGAAGCGCUCAAGUGCAGCAAAUGCAGCCAAAUGCAGCACCCUCAAAGAGGGAUGACUGUCCAUGACAAAAGAUACCAUCAAAGAUAUCAUGUAAAUAGUUUUGAUGGUAAUGUCGGACGCUUCAUAUUAAAAAUUUGUGGUUUUUGUUUCAUUUGUUAAAGAAAAAACUUCAUGGUUUAGGACAAGUGUGAUCUCUCUAAUAUUCUAAUAGAAGAUGGUUGUUUCUUCUGUGUGCGUGUGUAAUCAUUUUGGUAGCAAUCGUUUGGUUCACAUGCAUAAUUAAGAUAUUAAUCAUAAGUGAGUUAGCUAUAUCUAUUGAUGAGGUGGCAGCACCACGAAGAAGGGAUGUUCUCUUAGAAGAUUGAAAAUUUUAUAUAUAGUGAGAAUUAUUAAAUUUUCUAUUUCUCAUCUAGUGCAUUAUUUGAUUUGAUCUAUACUAUUAUUUAUGAAGUGAUUUAGUUUAUUUGUCAUGAUUUUCAUGAUUUUAGGUAUUUUUGCUUAUUUGUUAUGUUUUAAUUAGGUUUAAGCUCACGGAGUAGUUUUUAGUUGAGUUCAUAACUUAUUAAUUUAAAUAAUAUAACUAUAAAAUAUGUAAUUAGAUAUAUAAUUUUAGUUGAAUCACUAAUUUAUUAAUUUAAGAAAAUAUCCGUAAUGAAUUUAAUAUAUAAUUAAAAACGAAUUUUGAUUUAAUAAUAUUUAAAUCUAUAUGUUAUAUUAAAAUUCUUAUUUUCUUAUUAGUCAUAUUUUAUUAGGUUUUAAGCUUUUAUAUAGGUCACUAAUUUAUUAUUAGUUUCUAACUGAGUAUUUAUUAAUUUUCACAAAACCCGUAAUGAAUUUUAUAUAUAAUAAAACACGCAUUUUAUUUUAAUAAUAUUAAAUUGAUAUGUUAUAUUAAAUAACUAAUUAUAAACUAAUAUAAUAAAAUUGUGAAAAUAUAUUUAAAAAUUAAGAGAAUUAUUAUAUAUAUUGUGUUCCUAUCUCUAAACAAUAUUUUUUAUUAUAAGGUUAGAAAACUAAGAUAUAAAACAGUUUAUAAUUAAAUAUUAGUCAUACAAAAAUAUUUAUAUAAAGAUAUUUAUAAACUAUUUCUAAUAUAUGAGUGUUUUAAAACUUUUAACACAAAAAUAAGUACAUAGUUUGAUGAACGUUUCUGAUCAGGGGAUAGAAGCAAGAGAUUACGUAUUUACCUGUGUUUUCUUGCGGUUGAUCAGAGGGCGGUGUAUCAUUCCGGCAGUACGCUGAAGAUUAGACACAAUCUAUUAUCACUUUGGUAAACAGAUUAGCUUUUGUAAACGUUGAGAUACGAAUGCGUUAGACUUACACAGUUUGGGCGGCUAGUAUUGCAAAGAUGGCAUAUAAUGUUUCUUCAGCUUAUGUAAGAUCAGGAUGAGUUUUGGUGAGAGUUGAUUUUUUUUUUACCCCUUUGAAAGCAUAUACUCGUAGAUUGAUAGGGCUGAUUUUCAGAAUUAUUUUACUUUCCUUUUAUGAUGUAGGAUCUUCGUAGAUAUGGUAAUUCAUAAAGGUAACGUAUAAGAUUUGUUUCCUUUUAUGAUGUAGGAUUUUUGUAGAUAUGGUAAUUCAUAAAGGUAACGUAUAAAAUUUGAAAUCAAGUAUCAUAAGUGGAUUUGGAAAUAAGUUUUUUUUUUGGUAUUAGCAGUAGCUUCUGCAUGCCGACUAAUAUGUACGUAACAUGUUGACCAUAGAAUUUUCAAAAGAUAGAAUGAUGAUAGAAAAAUUGGAAAUUCCAAUUCUGUUCAAUUAAAGAAUAAGGAAAAAAAACAAUGCAAAGUGAAACAAAGUGUGUCUUUAAUCUAGUUUGUUGAUUAUAUGUAUAUGUUUGCCAUAAAGCUUCCAAAGUGUGUCUUUAAUCUAGUGGUAGAGCAACCCUCGUAUAUUAUCUUGGACCUGGGUUCGAAGUGUCCCACAAUCAUAUUUUUAAUGUCAUCCAUUGUCGCAAUAAGAGAUUCGUUUUUAUAAUAGUAAAGUUAAUAUUUUAUCAGUUUUAAAAAUGACCCGACCCAUUUUUCCUGUGCCAAGUUAUAGCUGAGAAAGUUGCCGGGUCGGGACCUUGCAGAAAAAAAUGUUUUAUUGAUUUGAAUUUGUUAAAAGUACUGGGAAUUAUUUGACUGUAUUUUGAUAGUGUUAACAUUUAAAAUAUAUUUAUUUAUUAUAUGUCUGUAUGAUAUCAUGUAUUUUUGGUUGUUAGGUGAAACAAUUUUUUCAUAGAAACUAUAUAUAUGAAGAAUUUGAAUGUUAAUUUGAAUGUUCUAACAUUCUUGCUGUAAACCAAAAACGUAAUUGUGGUAAACGCACAUUAAAAAAUAUAUGUAUAUAUAUGUGAAUGCAUACGUAGAUUUAUUGUCCAGUAGUGGAAAUCAAAUGUUAAAAAAUGGUCCAAAGCUCGUAUAACCUCAUUCAAGAAAGUUACGUGAAGAAAGAAUCGGAGUUACAUAUUAACGUAGGAAAAGCUGUUACCAUUAAGUAACUAAUCGGAAGAUAAUUCAGCACUUAUAUAAUCAUAGUAUAAAGUAAACUAAGAUAAUCUUCACACUGAACAAAUAAAAAGAUCAUAACAGGAUAAGUAAAUUGCUCAAAGGGAUAAGCAAAACCCAUAUAACGAAAAUUGUAUUCAACAAAAACUUAAACACGAAAGGAUAAAACUCUGAAAAUGCAAAUGUCAAGAACGCAAAAUUAUUAGGGAAAAAUAAAAGCACACAUAAACCGCAGCAAACACGUUUACUGCGUAGAAGGAAGAGUUCAAGCUAUAUUAGCCACUCUUCGAACGCUUGGCCUCAUCCGACUCAAGAUAUUCAGCUGCUUUUCUAGCCCUAUCACCUGCAUCACCUCCAACCCCUCCGGAAGGUCCAGAGUCAUCACCCCUAGUCUUUGAGAUACCAUCAGACACUGAUGGAAGAGGAGCACCUGCUGGGAUAAUCUUUGUGACAGUUAUGGUCUGAGUCUUGCUUGUCAAAUUAUGAUCCGAGACCUUCACGAUGAACUUGCGUGUCUGCCCGAUUGUCUCAAGCAAAGCAUCCGGAACAGGCACGCAAUGAUCAACCCCAACUCCAGCAUUAGACUGACAUAAAAACACAACCUACGUGAGUUCAUCUGAUGCUGCCUUCUCAGAAUUCUCAAAUCAAUGAUGUCCUAACUAAUUCGAUAUUACAGAAAGUUAUUAUAUAUGUAUAAACAGGUGUAGAGUACCUCAAAGUAAUUUGCAACUAAUUCUGCUGCAUGCUUGCCAGUCAACUCCUUUCCAGCAUCACCAAGAAUGACAAAAACUGCUUGCUCACUCUUAUCAUAAACAGAAAUCUUCGUCAGGUACCUACAAUGAGAAAAUAUUAGUUAUGAGAGAUGAAAAACAAAUAUGAAUCUAAGAGUACAACACUCACUGAGGAACGCCUGUGACUUCUCUUUUAUCACCCUUCUUAUUGUUGCAAACCAGAGAAGUAGGCCCUUUCACUGCCUUACUAUUGCAGCCACCACAGGAAAUGUAGUACCAAGCAGAACCCUGGAUAACAUCAUCUAUAGUUGCAGUGCAUUCGAACCAAGCAACCUUCAUCGUGGAAAACAAAUAGAAUUCAUAAACACCCAAGUACAUAGAAAUAAUAUAUGAACAGGACAAUUAUUGCACCUUAGAAGUUUCAUGCUUGAUGUAAGAGAAUAGUUCCUCAAGAGUCACUGCCUCAGGCUUAGUGACAACCUCAGCUGCAACUCUAUUAGCAAUUUCUGAGUUUGAGACCAACCUGAACCAAAGACAAAAGCCCAGAUAUUUUAGGAAUAAUACAGCGGUAAAAUAUAAACAAAAGUUGUAGGAAAAAGUAUUUGAAUGCAUAAAUACAUACCAUUCGAGAUAAUCCUUGCUUGGCUGAACAUCGGCAUCCAUAAACACUCGGGAUGAUGACAUCGAAGUGAGAGCAAGGGUCCCUGUUAAUAACAAAUAGAAGGAUGUGAUUAUCAGGUACAUGAUUUAUCAAUGCCUUAUCACGGUUUCUUAACAAUAUACUAUGACCUAUGCAGCUCAAUAAACAAAAGUUGCAGGAAUAUAAACAGAAGUCACAGUUCAAUAAACAACUACAAUAUUUUAGGACAGUAAUAAAUAAUUGAAAGGACAAUCAAAUUGUCCUUGUAGCAAUGUUAACACAAAUAUUCAUUGACAACUAAAAUAACAGUCUUCACGGUAAAUCAAAGGCAUAACUUUUCUCUAAAAGGACAUGAGCUAAUCAUCUAAUGUUACAGAAGAAAAAAAAAGAACAAACCCAAUAUGAGCCCUUACGCAAGAUCUCAUCUCAAAACCUAACCGUUGACUCAAAAGAGCCCUUACGCGUUAAAAUAUAAACAAAAGAACGCUUGGAAUGAUGCGAAUGAUGUGAAUGAAUAUGUCACAGCUAAGUUCUGAAUAUGUGAAUGAUGUUUUUUAUAGUUUUGAUGCUGACCUCCAAUAUGUUUAGGGUUCAUUGUAGUGACCAAAAGAACGCUUGGAAUGCCUCCCUACAAUUUGAAUUUCUGGCAAAAGUCGGAAGCAGCCUUGUUCCAUAGAUACAUCUUCAUCACUGGUCCACUACACAGGGCACAAAUCAUGUGUUAAAAACAGCACACAAACAAUGAAAGCGAGUAACAAAAAGAAAAACUUACUCAUGUGUCUGUAUAUGAACACACAGAUGCCGCUUCUCUGCUAUGUCAGCUUCGUCGAGAACAAUAUGGUCAGUGAAAGUCUGCCCAUUCACCAGCUUCAUAUGACCAACAUAAUCUGUGACAAAACCAGUACGAUCCGCAGACAUCAAAAAAAUAUAUCAAACAUGUCUAUAAGAUGUUCAGUUGUUGUUCACACACAGUAUGUACUCUAAAAAGCUAAACUUCACUUACCAUAGAGAUCAGAUCUGGAGUCACAAUUGGCCUUAAACUCCUCAUAGGUGUGGAACCUGAACCUAUCUUCUGGUAUUUGAACCGGAGGAUUCUCAAGAACAGACAAAGAGGAAUUCCAAAUGAGACGGUGGCACUAUGAUCAGCAACACGAAACUGAUCUUUGCUUCUGGAUCCGAAAAAAUUGAUCAGCUUAUAGACAGAACCUGCUAUCAGCUCAUAUCUCUCAACUCGACUGGCUGGAAUAAAACCUUGAAUAGCAGUUCCCUGUAUAUAUCAUUUAAAAACAUAGAUUAAUAGAAAUAUCAUCCCAAUCGAGCAAUACCAAAUCAGAGAGUAAAAGUAGACAAACCACUUCGUCGAUUAGGAGCAUCUCUCGUCCAAUGAGGGUCUUCGUGUUUGGGUUGCGAGCAUCCCAGAAAUGAAUCAUACGGAACAUCAAAUCAGCUUCGCGUGGGCCGAGAGAAACCUCUCUGAAGAACAUCACUUGCUCGCUAGGCAGGGAGGAGAGAUCGGUAGCAGCGUUUGGUUCCAUCGGAUUGGCAGAUGAAGCAACAGCCUUUCCGUUACGUUUCACCAUGAUCGCAGACGAAGCAGUGGACUUUCCGGUUGAUUUCGCAGUCACAAAGGAGGCGACAGUCUUCUUGCUGGUGUUGUGGUCGCUGGAACCUGGGGAUUUGCCGCUGAGUUCCAUCGGAGUGAGAUUUGAGAGAAUAUUCUUAGUUGUGAUGGAAGAAUUUGGUAAGAGGAGAAGAGGGUUAUAAAUAAAAAAUGGAGAGGUAAGCGAAAGGAAUUCAUCGGAUCAGUUCAAGCGAAGACUUGAUUACAGCAGUUAUUGUGAGGAUAUAAGUGAUGAAGUUAAUCGUCGAAACCGAUUUGCUGAGAAGAAUAAUGGAAGAUGGGGAAGUCGAAAGAGAAGAGAAGAGCAAAAUUAGGGUUACGUCAACGACUGGUCGUCUCUCAACAAUCACGUGAAAGUAAAGAGCAAAUGGGUCCAACCAAUAUUCGCACAGAACAAACGGGCCAAAACGUCGAAAUCCCAAACCAAUAUGAAAGUAACCUGACGUGGACAAACGCUGCUCCAUGAGUGGCUAAUUUUCCAGUCUGACGUGGACCACCUAAGGAGGCUUAGUAUUUGCCUUUUAGUAUAGUUUUGAUUAUUUCUUAAAAGUUAUAUCUAUCUAUCUAUCAAAUUUUUUUUUUCGAAUGAACAACAAAAAUUAUAUCUAUAAAAGGUGAAAAUUCCCAAGAAAAUAGCUGAACUAAUUUACAUUUGCUAAAAAUAUAUUUAAACUAUUUUGGUUCAUUUUUUAAAGAUUGACAUCAUCAGUUUGGCGAUUUAAACCUUUCGAUUUUUCAGAAAUCCCCAAUACAUUAUUUACCAAGUGAUUUUGACACAUGUAAUCACCACAUUAAUUUUGAAAGCAAAAUGAUGACAUGACAUACUAAUAAAGAUGACAUGGUUUGGACUAAUUGUGACAUGAAUAUUUACAUUUAAUGUUGUUUUAUAAUUUUUGUAAGUUUUUAGAAUAAGGUAAUAACUUAUAAAUUAACAUUAAUGUAAAAAUAAAUAUUAAAGUUAGAAAUAUAGUAAUAUAUAAUAAUUUUCGAAAAUAUUAUUUAAUUUUAUUUAAAUAAUUUUAUAAUUUUUAUUACUAAAACAAAUCUUAAAAAAUUUAUGUAUUUUCAAAAAAAAAAAUCAUAUUAUGAUUAUUUGUUUUUAAUAUUUACAAAUUUUAGAUUUAUUAUUUAAUUUUUUGUUUUGUUAAUUAUACAUAACAAAACUUUCCCUUUAUUUUAUUGAAUUUUAAAUAGAUGUUUAGAGAAAUAUUUUUACAUAUAAUUAAAAUAUUGUUAUAUAUAUAUAUAUAUAUAUUAUUAAAUAUAAAUGUAAAGAAAAACAUUUAUUUUAUCUUAAUUUUUACAUAGAAUUAAAAUAUUGUACGCAAAUAAUAAAACCAAAAGAUUAACAAAAAUUGAUUUAUGAAUAUAAUUUUAAAACUUCAUUUCUGCACAUGGUGCAGUAAAACACCUAGUAUAAGUAUUAAUUGGCUAUAAAAUUAAAAUAAGUUAUAUAAUAAAUAGAAAGUCAAAAUAGUUUAUGUAUUUUUGAGAAGAUGAAAAUUAAUUUAAAUAUUUUUUGGUAAUUUCAAAACCAAGAAAAAAACAUGAAAAUUAAGAGAUUAUGUUCUUCGAUCCGAUUUGGUUAUAUUUUCAGGGUUUUAGGUAGUUUAGGUUUUUUAAAACUCUUAUCGAAAUUAACUGACUGAAAAUGUGAUUCAGUUUUUGGUUCUGGAUAAUAAAUUAUUGACCAAAGUUAACUGAUUUUUGGUAUUUUGGUUAAAUUAUUGUUAAAUUUUAUUAGUUCAGUUCUUCCGCUCAGAUAGUGUAUGUUUUGUAACAUUUUGGUAUACCUUGAUAAAAUUUAGUAUCCAUUAUUAGAAAACUAUAUUUUUUUAAUGCUGAGUUUUAUUGAAGAACAAAAUGUUUGUUGGAUCCACGAUCAAGAUCAACAUCAUACAAAAACACAUAGUAUUAAAGAUAGAGUAAAAAUAAAAAAUGCUAGUAGACACCAUAAAAGCUUCAAAAUAAGUUUCAGCUAUAAAUAAAAGAUAAGUUCAACAUUACAUGAUGUCAUCAGGAUGCUACUGCACUUGUAGCAGUGUUACUAUUCAGUGAGCAUGAUCAGAGCUCCAUGCCUUAAUUUUAAGGAGCAAAGUAUUGACUGCAGUGUGAAUCGAAGAGGAGAACAAAAUCUCUCUUGUUAGGACGAUUUCCCAAAAACUUAGAGAGACUCACAACACCAAAGCUACAAGAGGACAAUGCAAGUGGCACAAAGAAGUGAAACAAUCCAUGUACACCAAUAGGGACUAUGGGAAUGCAUCAACAACCAACCAAAUCAUUGUAAGCCAUAUAACAUGUGUCCAAUAAGCUUUAAAGAGAGAUCAAUCUUAAGCAGUAACAUAACAUAGAUUUCAAAUGAAGCAACAACAUCAUAGAGAAGAAGAACGAAAAGAAACAAGAUAAAUAGAGAAGUCAUACCAUCGACCUUCCAAUCCGGCACAGCUCGUUGGUUUUUGGUCAAACACAAAGAAGAAUUAUAUGAAGAACAUCAAAACUUACACCAACACAUAAACUCCAUCACCGUUGAAAUAACUAUCAGAUUUGACUUGAAAUCAAAUACACGAAGAUACUUAAAGGACCGACACCAAACUUUGAAAGCUAUCAUCCAUCGGUCAUUCAGUGAGAGAAGAGAUGAGAGAGAAAAAGAACUUGAAGGCUAGAGUCUGAGAGAGAUAACUGAGAAAAAAAUAAUAAUAAGAAGACUUCUGAAUUGAUUCUUCCAUUAACUGGCCAAAUGAAAACCACAAUCACGCAUUAGUUGACGAACAAAUUGUAUACAUGUGUUAUCAUUCGACAUUUAAAAAUCGAAAACUAAAUAUAUAUAAACUGAUUAAUUUGCUAAUGAGUAACAUUUUUUUUUUUCAUUUGAUUUGUCUGUUCAUACUUCAUCUCACAAACUUCCAACAAAACAAUUUUUGUGCCAUCGAAAUAGAUUGCAGCGAGGUCCUCGAAUAUCUCCAUGCUCUGUGAAACCUCACCCCUAGUUUGUCAUCGGUCGAAUCACAGUCGCCGUUAUGCUUUCAUUUGAAAUUUUCAAAAAAAUACUACCGUUGGAAAAAUAGUACCAACGAAUCUUAAAUUCAAAAAAAAGUAAUUAAAAAAAAUGAUAAGAAUAUAGAAACGGCAGUUUUAUAGAAGAAACGGCAGGCUUUUUCUUCAAAUUUCCAUAACUGUUUUAAAAUAUCUAAAUAAUCCUCGAAACACAUUUCAGUUUUACUUCAUAUAGGAUCAUAGAUUGCUUCUUUGCCGCCAAUUAGUCGUCUUAGGGUUUCCCUUUCCACAAACUCUUAAGAAGCGGCAAAUAAAAAAGUUGGAUGAGAAACUCGAAGCUAGAAAAAUGCGCAAUGUUCGUGUCUCUCAGCAAGAAGAGAUCGAUUCAGAUACUCAUGGCGGUUGGUUUACUGUACAUGCUUCUGGUCACGCUCGAAAUCCCCCUCGUCUACAGAUCCGGAUUCAACACUCUAUCACACGAUCCGUUAACCCGGCCCGAUCAUCUCGGUAGCGAGCUGGAUCUGCAAGAGAGACGAGGAGCUCCAGGGCGUCCUUUUAAGAGCUUGAUUUAUCAUGAAACGGAAUCAGUGGCCCCUGCUCGAGCUGAACGGAGAAGAAUAUCACAAGAGAUCUUUAUAUCCGGGUUGAAAUUUGACCCGGAUCCGAGUAGCAGAGACGAGUCCUUGGAGCUCCAUGAAUCCGCCAAAGUAGCUUGGGAAGUUGGUAGAAAGCUAUGGGAAGAGCUGGAAUCUGGAAAAGCCCUUAAAGCCUUAAAGGAAGAGAAGCUUGGCUCCAGCUCCAGUUCCAGUUCCAGUUCCAGCUCAUGCCUGGUCUCCGUUUCCUUAUCCGGGUCGGAUCUUUUGACACGUGGGAAGGUCAUAGAGCUUCCUUGUGGGUUAACACUCGGAUCACACAUCACGCUGGUGGGGAAGCCACGCGCUGCACACUCUGAGAUGGACCCGGAGAUAUCAAUGGGGAAUGAAGCUGUGAAGGUUUCGCAGUUUAUUAUGGAGCUCCAAGGGUUGAAGGCAGUGGAAGGAGAAGAUCCGCCUAAGAUUCUUCAUUUCAAUCCAAGGCUUAUGGGUGAUUGGAGUGGUAAGCCUGUGAUUGAGCAGAACACUUGUUACAGGAUGCAAUGGAGCUCGGCGCAACGAUGUGAGGGCUGGAGAUCGAGUGAUGAUGAUGAAUCAGGUUAGUGUUUUCUUGCUUUGCUUGAUUGGGUUAUAGAGAAACGGAGUCCAAAGAUUGAGUUUUGUUUCUCCACAGUUGAUGGUCAGCUUAAGUGUGAGAAGUGGGUUCAAGAAAAUGGUACUUCUUAUUCUAAUGAAGAGACUAACAAGGCAACAUGGUGGCUGAGUCGGUUUAUUCCCAGGAGCAAGAAAGUAGCUGUAGAAUGGCCAUUUCCAUUCACUGAGGAGAAGCUCUUCGUGCUUACGCUAAGUGCUGGGUUGGAAGGUUACCAUGUUAGUGUCGAUGGGAAACAUGUCACAUCUUUCCCUUUCCGAACUGUAAGUGAUGCUUUCUUCAAAUGCUCUUUGGAGUAGUAGUAGUGCUGAUAGUUGAAAUUGUGUUUGGUUUUUGAUCAUAUGAAGGGGUUUACGCUUGAGGAUGCUACUGGUCUAACUGUUACUGGAGACAUAGAUGUUCAAGCUGUUUUCGCUGGCUCUCUCCCAACCUCGCACCCUAGUUUUGCCCCUCAGAGGCAUCUUGAUCUCUCAAGAAAGUGGCAGGCCCCAUCAGUUUCUGGUGAAGAAGUUGAGUUAUUCAUCGGCAUCCUCUCUGCAGGUAAUCAUUUUGCUGAGCGGAUGGCUGUGAGGAAGUCUUGGAUGCAACAUAAACUUAUCACAUCUUCCAAAGUGGUGGCUCGGUUCUUUGUGGCAUUGGUAAGUUCAGGGUUUCAUGAGGCUAGCUGUUUAUUUCUUCUAGGUUAUGUUUUGAUUGAUGCUCUAACUUUUGGUAUUAUACAUAGCACUCAAGGAAGUCAAUCAAUGUGGAGCUAAAGAAGGAAGCUGAGUUCUUUGGGGACAUAAUUGUAGUGCCUUAUUUGGACAGCUAUGAUCUAGUUGUCCUGAAAACUGUUGCAAUUUGCGAGUAUGGGGUGAGUUUCUACCCAACUAAUAUGAUUCCCACCUCUACAAUGAUUCAUCAUGGUUUGAAAACUCUUGUUUUGUUUUGGUUUGCAGGCUCAUCAGUUAGCUGCCAAAUACAUAAUGAAGUGUGACGAUGACACAUUUGUCCGAGUAGAUGCAGUUCUUAGGGAAGCAAAGAAAACACCCACAGAUCGAAGCUUGUACAUUGGCAACAUCAACUAUUAUCACAAGCCUCUUCGCCAGGGGAAGUGGGCUGUUACAUAUGAGGUAAUAAACAACACAAAAAAAGGAAAAACAAAGAUAAAGUUCUGUACUAUUAGAAAAACAUUCUUACACAAUUUAUUCAAAUGGUUCUCCAGGAAUGGCCAGAGGAAGACUAUCCACCUUAUGCCAAUGGACCUGGCUACAUAUUAUCAACAGAUAUCGCUCGUUUCAUCGUUAAAGAGUUUGAGCAACACAAACUAAGGGUAAUAGACCAUUUUCAUUUUGGAAAAGAGUAUCAGAGACGAGAAGAAUCUAGAGCAAAUGUAUGUGAUGUGUGAUUCAACAUCACUUUGUUUAUGUUAUAGUUAUUCAAAAUGGAAGACGUGAGCGUGGGAAUGUGGGUGGAACAGUUCAACAACAGCUUGAAACCUGUGGAUUAUGAGCACAGCAUUAGCUUCUGCCAGUUUGGUUGCAUAGAGAAUUACUUAACGGCUCAUUACCAAUCGCCAAGACAGAUGAUCUGCUUGUGGGGCAAAUUGGUCUUGACGGGCAAACCUCAUUGCUGCAACUUGAGAUGACCCAACUGUGUAAGUUGAGAACAUCAAUGAGCCUUUGAUGUAUGUAUGUAAGUCUUUGCCUUAGAACAAAUCAAUGGAUCCGUUGUUGAAUCAUUCAUUCACUUUUUUUUUGGGGGUCAAAAUUGAAUCAUUCAUUCGCAUUCAUUCUUUUUGAUGAUUAACCUCCUGAAACCGAAAUUCAAAUCGAAUAUUCGUAUAUGCAAAUGUUUUAGCUUUUACAAGAAUAUCUUUGGAGAUGUAAACUCUUGAGGGUUGUUGGUAAACUGAAUACUACAAUGCUAUCCAAACAGCAGCUGAAGAAAAACAAUCUAUACUUCUUCUGUAGAAGCUGCAAUCUUUCUAAUUAUCUAGUGACUGUUAAAAAGAAUCCAAAUUUUAAACAACAAAUAUAAAUAAUGAAAAUGAAAAGACAUAAUAAGAAGCAAUGAUAAAUAGAGAUUCAAAAUUUAUUUAAAAAAUAGAGAGAUUCAACGCUUAACAACACGUUGCUUAACAAAAACAAACAUAGACAAGCAAAAAUUUGAAUUAAAGGAUUCAGUCUCCAUGAUCAAUCAAUUCACACUCGUGAGACUAAAGCAAGUUGCCGCCCUCCUCAACUCCUCCUCCCCUAUUUCAUCUAUAGGUUCCUUCAAAGAUUCACCAGAGCUGCAACAACCAAAAAAGUCAGACAUGUUUUCAGAUACUUUUUUUAGCUCAGGUACUACGUACAAAGAAAAGAAAAAAAUGCAUACCUUGAAGCGUACACUUCUUUCGUUUCCGUGAAAGAUUGACUCUCAUCGAUGAUUUCUAGGAAUUGAUGGAUUUCAUCGUAGUUCUGAUCAUCAACUUCUUCCUCUUGUUGAUUCGAUGCCAUCUGAAGAUUAACAAGUUGAGACUGUAUCGCCAUCACACUGUUGUUGUUCUUCGUCUCGCUACAAUGCUCGUUUUGAUUGAUGAAUCCAUAGUUAUGAUGAUUGUAAGGAAAUUGAUUCUGACCCCAAGCCAAAGAAGUAUUAUGAUUGUUGAGAACUUCCUUACAUGAAUCUGGAAUGGGAUUGUAGUCAUGGUUAUUAACCUGAUCACUACAAUAAGACAUAUGAGGUUGUUGCUGCUGAGUUUCAGAAACCGGACUGAAAAAUGGUAUUGUAUUAUUGCCUUGGUUAUUAUUGUUAACAGGAAGUCCCAUUCCCAAAUCUAACUGGGAUGUGAGAUCUUCUUGCUUUUCACCAAUCUCGUGUAUCAUCAUAUUAUGAGGGUUAGGAUGAUUUUGACCACUACGAUAGAGCUGUAAUUGGGAAUUGACGGCUUUGAGCUCUUCUUCGGCGACCCAUAUCAUGUAUUGGAGUUGUUGUGUGAUUCCAAGGCAACCAUGGACAGGAUUACGAUCACGAACAUAAGACUGAAAGAUAAUUGAUUUCAUAGCUUCUGGUCUCUGAACUUCGUCUAGGUUCUCGAGUAUUUUAACAAUGCUUCUAACGCCGAAUAGCCUAUGAACGUUUUGGAAGAGCUUUGGUUGUUCGGCUGGGAAGUACGGCGCGAGUGGGCAGUCCGCGGCGCAGCGUCUGCGUUGGUACUUGCACGCAGCACAAGCACCACUCGUGCCUCCUUUCAAUGUCAUGUAAACGAUGAGAGAGAUCAAGAGAAGAUCCAAAAAUCUCUCUAAUGACCCUAUGGGAUUGUGGAUGGUUUUUAUUUGGCUCAUUCGAUGGGGGAAAAUCAAAAAGUAGACUGGGAAUUAAAAAAAGAAAAACAGAGAGUGAGGAUUUUUAAUGAGAUGUACGUGUUUGUGUUAACGUUUUUGGGUAGAUGAGAAAGGUAGAAGGUGAAGGAGUGGAGUAUAUAAGCGGAUUUUGCUGAGUGGGGAGAAGACCAAGCAAACAAAAGAUAGUACGUGCUAUUAAGUUUUAAAAAGAAAAUGUAAAAAAAAAAAUCCGGAUCCUUCGGGACAGUUAUCAUUUAUGAUUUCAUUUUUUAGUUUGUUUUUUCUUUUCUAAGAAUAGAGUUACUUGAAGAAUAGUUGUUUUAUAAUCUUUGUACUUAAAAUAGAGUUAUAUACCAAUGAAAUCUUAUUUGUUUCGAUACUAGAGAGAGACAGAUUUUACAAUUUUGAAUUUUGGAUUAGAUUUGUAUUAACUGAAUUUAAUAAUUUGUCCCCCAUGAAAAAAAUGGAUAUGAGAUUUUAAAUUGGAUUAUGUCUUAUCUAAUCAUAUUUAGUUGAACAAAAUAAAGCCAAAUUUUUAUUCAACAUUGAUUUUAUUAGAAUAUUCUUUUAAGUUAUAUAUAUACUUUGUUAUUAAAAUGUUGUGUUAAAUUAUUUGAGUUAUUAUUAUAAAAUCAUAUAUAGUAAAAAAAACAUGUUUCUAAUUCAGAAGUUGGGAAUCAGUUUUGGAAAGUACAUGUCCAACCUUCAUUUUCGAGAAUGUGAAUUUUUAUUGGAGUUAAAUCAAAGUUCUUAACUAAACCUAAAGACUUGCAAUGCAAGCAACCGCAGGAUAUCUCUCUUACUUGCCUUAUUUCACAAGGAACAACAAAAGAAUUUUGGUUUAUCUUUGAACCUCCCGAUAGGACGAUCAUUAAUUUUGUCUAUGUGUUUUCUUUUUGUUUUCCUUUUCUGCUGAUUAUUUUUGUCAUGGUCUGAACUUUUUAACACAUUGAAUAUGAACAUAUUAAACAGUCUUCUGUACGUGAAUCAAUUUAGAUGCUUGACAAAAUUAAGAUACAAAUGAAGUUGACAGGUUUGAAUCAUAUUAGAUGCUAGACAAAGAAAAAAAGCAAAUGAAAAGUUGAUCUUUUUGGGAACUUAUUGUGAACCAACAGAUUUAAGGAGCCAGAGUGGACGUCAAGGAUCCUCCUACAGGAGUUGAAGCGACGAUCUUACUCUCGGGGAACCGAACCGAUAGGCAUGUUCUUUUUACGGUCGACGCAGCGGUGAAUGACCAAAAUUAUAACUAACUUCUUGCCCAAAUAUGUGGAGAACACCGCUGGCAGCCGUACUUUCCACCAUUAAAAUCAGACGCUCUCGUUUAGCUAUCACUGUUUUACACAGCGUCACGGAAAAUACCAGCGGCCCUUGUAAAAUGUAAUCGCAGCGGCAGCUCGUUUGUUCUCCACUAUUUAUUUUCCCGAUUUUGAUGCGUAAAUUUUGAGACGCUGAACGCUGCGACAGCGACCGUAAAAAUAACAGGCCUGAUGUCAAUCUCCCAACAACAGCAAAGGAUGAAAUCUCCUGCUGUUGUUGAGUUUUGCAGCUAGUUCUGUUUAUGGAGAUCAGUUGGAAACUAGCUGUUAUGAGAAUGUACUGCAGUUUUUGGGAUCUCAUCUGCUUCAAGCUCUAUGUAUGUAGAAGACGAUGCUGGUUCCGAGGACAAACCUAUGAAACAAUGGAAUGAGAUUCUCCUCUUUGAUGGGCCCAUAAUUUUAAUUUUUAUAAGAUAUGUAGUAAAAUAAUUUUAAUUUUUAUAAGAUAUGUAGUAAAAAUUUCUAUAUAUUUAAUAAAAAUAAAAUAAUAGAACAUAUCAAAAAUAAUUUUUAUAUAAACUAUUUAAACUAAUGCAAAAUAUCAACACAAACUGUUUCAGUUAGUUACUUAUAUAUAUCUUUUCAAAAACUUAUAAUUAUUACAACAAAUAUUUAUUAAAAAAUUAAUAUUUUCUAAACCUUGUAAACUCGGAAUUAUCCUAGAAUAAAAGUACAACAUUACGCAUUGUUAAUCAGCCUUUUGCAAAAAGAAAAAAAACAUAUUAUGUAUUUUGCAAAUGUACAACAUUUAUUCUCUUUUGGUUUUACAAGAAACUGCUUCAACGAAGUGGUCAGAUCAACGCUACAUUUCCAGUCCAUCCAAGUAUCUAAAAGAAUAUGAAUAAGAACUUAUUUAACUCUCAGACACACACAUAUCCAAAGUAAGAUCAUAUUAUAUAGAAUAUAAAAAUUCUAUUGAGAUGAAAAAGGGCUAGUCUAUGCAAAGAUGUACUUGCCUCUCAAGCUUAGUCCCUUGCAGAUAACACCUUUUUUAUUGGACGAGACUCUAUGCAAUCUUUAUCCUAACUUCCUACUUCUAUUUUAAUACUAGUUAGAGACAGAUCUGAUCUAAAGAAACCAAAACAAGGAAGAGUGCAUAGAUUUAUAUGAAUCGAAUCCUCAAUGUGACAAUGACUUAACCAAGAAAACUACCUUUGGAUUCCGUAACAACUCUUGCAAUGAAAAUACUUUAGCUUAAUUAUAAGACAAAAUCUUCUUCUCCAUCCUCUUUCAACCACUGAUGAGUAUAUCACAUUUUUCCUCUCGCUCUGAUUGUAAAAAAGUACUUACUUCCUUUUUAGUAUGUACUUGGGAGAUCUUCUAAACCGUAGCACCAAAUCUCCACUUACUCUAUUUUUUGGCUUCCCUUUUUCUUUUUGGUUAACGUUGCUUCUCGUAGAGAAGAAGCUGUGGCUGCAAGUGUCCUUUCUUGCACAUAGAAAGUACAUCACUCCAGCUACCGAUCACCUGAAGAUAUGUUAACACAUCAAACGGGUGAUAAACGUGGAAUCCUGUAUAUGCCUUCAAAGUCAAGUGUAUUUUCAAAACUCUUAUUACCUUCACAGUUUUGUCAUCGUACAUGAUCCACCGAUCGUGUUCAUGACUAUAUGCAAAGCAAUGAUAAUGCUGUCCAUAAUAGCAAACCUGGAGUUUGAGAAAGCGCAGAACAACAACGUUAAGAUCAUAGAAAGCCAGAAGAAAAACAUAUAGUAAACACGUACCACGGAAGCUAAGCUAUAUAUGCUCUUAGGGUCAAGACCACGGUACAUGAUGCUGAUGUCUAUUUCGGUAUUCAAGGCUGCAAGAGUAGCUGCUAUGUCUUCUACACUCUCGCAUGUGUUUUGCCACCCUAAAACUGCCAACCCCCAAAAAUGUUUGGACACAAAUAUCAGUGAUCUGAAAAGGCUAACAUUCAACAGAAUCCCUAGGAAAAGAAUUACCUGCAGUAAAAACAUGUGGUGGGGUGUUAAGAAAAUGGCGGAUAUGGUUGGGUUUCCCACACCCACCAGUUUCAGGAUCACAGGCUAGUUGGUGGUUCAUCUCGACAAGAUUUAGGAGUUCAUCAAAUGCAGUCUCGGGGCAGGUAACCUAUUGGACAUAAUGUGAGCAAACCAACAGUGAAUUAUGAAACCAAUGAACACUUGCAUGAUUAGUAUCUCUUUUCACCUUCAUGUUCCGUAGGGCACUAGCGUUGAUGUUAUGGAAAAAGGAAGUGUACUUCAUAUGCCUCGACUCCAGCUCACAGCUGUUGCAAUUCAGUUGCUCAAAGAUAUUCAUUCCAAACAGAGUGUGGGCAAUACAUGUGCGGUUGGCACAGUCCCAUGAACCUGUAUAGUUGCUCUCUGAAGAAUCUGUGUCAGACACGCUUGAGCUCUGAGCAAAUGAACGAUGUAGGCAGUCGAAAAUCACAGCCAAUACUUCUGAAGCAUCGUUCAUCUGAGCCUGUCCACCAUAUGACGCCCAACUUUAGGCUUCUUGAUGCAACGAAAAUACUCUGUAUUAGGAUAAAUAUUUGAAACCAGAACAAGUUUAUUACCUCUUGGAAGAAACUGCUAUCUGGAUACAAGUUGCUCAACGCAAUCCUGAGUGUUGAAGGAGUUACAGGUUCUUUUCGUAUUUCCCUCGAAGCAGCGCUUAAAGCAGUAAGAACUUCAUACAAUGAGCAGACGACACAAGGAUCUCCAACGUGAUGGUGAUCUAACAUUGAACUACGCAAGAACUCAGCCCGAAACACCCCCAGAUUCCAUAGAGACUGAGAUCAAAAUAAAACAACAUUAAAAGUAUAAAUCUUUCAAGCUGUAUACUGUAGACAUUGAUACCAGAAAAAUCAAAACAGUUUUUGAGAAUGGAUGUUACCUGUAUGAUAACAUUCAAAAAGCAAUUGUAUUCCCCAACUUCAUUCUGAAGACCUGUGCCAAAUAUGCCAACUUCGGUAGAGGUCGGAGACUCCUUUGUGGAAUCAGAAAUUUUAUGACUGUUUACUUCCAGAGGUGUCCUCAAACAUGACGUCAUAUUUCUACCUCCUUGGUACGUAUCUGGGUUGAAAAAAAAUGUUAUGGCGUCAGAUGCUUCAUAUCAGGGCUUUUGUCAGUGUCACUCCAAAAUGAUCACAGAACAAAUAUGAUGAAAGUGAAAAAAAGGUAACUUGACAUCUAAAAUAAAAGAACGUGUCCUGAGAUGGAGAGAAGGCUGAGUCAGACAAUAGACAAGAAUGGACACUUGCAAACAAUCCCAAAGGUUGAUAUAAUAAAUAAGCAGGGAUGGUUGGGAAACUACCAAGGCUUUGACGCACUGCCUUUUUAAGGUCUGCUUGAAACUUUUCUUCUUCAUCCUCUUCAGCUUGUAGUUGUCUUAAUGUCUUUGUUUCCACAUCUACAUCACCAGGAUGAAAUAUCAUGUUAGAUAAGAAUUGCAAUAAAUCAAUGUGAUGUCAUUCUUCGUUGACAGAAAAGUAAAAACCAAGAUACAGUAAUUAAAGUAGCUCCGGCUUUAACAAAAGUCUAACUUUAAUUAUAAUUCCAAAGUUCCAACACGUAACAACAAUCAUUCUCUGAAAUCAUGAGGCAGAGAGAAGAAUAAAAAUGAAAAAAGAGACCUACCACCAUUGCUACGCAGAGUUUCAGAUUCUCUCUCCUUGCCGGUGCUCUCAGAAGGUCCAACUACCUUGUUAGAAGUUUUUUGGCGUCUACCCCUCCUCCCAAUGCGUUGAUCAGAUUGUAAAACACCAGCUUGGGUAGCUACCCCAUUAGCCACUACUGCAAUAUACAAAACAAAACAAUAUAAGCGCAUCAGAAAGGUCACUAGAGACAUAUAUUCAAAUUCGAUGACAUUGGUAACCUUUUUGGGAUUUCACAUCCUGAACUGUUGCAGCAUCAGAUAUCUCACAAUGAUUUGUUGACCGAGAGUCACCAUUUCUAUACACGUGGGUUACUUCCAAGUCAUGAGGUAGUCCAUUUCUUUGAACCAGGUUCUCCUGGUAAAGCCAAGAAACCCAAAAAUUAAAUUGAAAUGAUCACUCGCGACACUACAACCUUGUCACUCAAUGGUUACCUGACUUAGUGAUUUUUCUUGUUCUCGUAAAUCUAAAUCAACAACGACACCAUCUCUGCAAAUAUCAUGCACUGCCUCUGCAUCACUCGUUGUAACUAAAGAGCUGUAUUUCUUUUGUUGUUCUGCAAUAUGCUUCCCCUUGGCUUCAUCCUCAAUUCUUCUUUGAUACUCUAGAGUUUCUUCAAGCUUUAUCUCAUCUAGCUCUAGCUCUGUUCGGCGUCUGCAUUCCUCUUCCUGUUCUUUUAAAGAUUCAACAGCUUCAGGAACAACGUCAGCCUCUGAGGGAUCACCAAAAGAUGCAACCGAAGGGAGGCUGGAACAAGAAAUCAUCAAAGAAAAAUCAUUUACCACCAAUUUUCAGGAAGAAAAUAAAUUAUCCCGGUUCAGUAUUUAAACUAAUUUUUUUAUAUAAAAGAUCUUCACCUGUGUUCAACUGAAUCAACAUUGAAGCGAUGGUCGUUUCCAACAGAAGCCUAUAGCAAAACAUUAAAGCUAGUUACAAAUAUAGACAAGAAAUAGUUAAAAAGUGGACAACAGAUUAGUUCUAACCUUCGAAUCUUUCAGUUUUUUAGAGUGCUUAUUCUUUUUCUUAUCCUUGGGCUUUUCUUGGGUGUGUUUCGAAUGAUCAUUUCUCCCUCGGGCCUCCUUCUUAGAAUCAAGGGCGAGCUCAACGAGAAACGCUUUGCUUGCAGCAUCAGACUUCUCAGUGGCAUCUUUCUCUGCCAAUGCCUCCAAAUGUGCCUGGAAAGAGAGAAAAGUGGAAUCAAAACCCGAAAGAACACUACACCUAAAGGGUAGGAAAGAUAACAAGGUCUAAUGAGUUAGAUACUUACACGCAUGUAAGACCUGACCAACGGUAACAUUACUAUCUGAUAAUCAUUGGAUGAAGCAGGUCCAAGCUUUAGCUCUAAUUGCUGCACCACAGUAGCACCGCGCAUCAUUCUUGCAUCGAUUCUGUUAAGCUGUAAUACACAUACGGAGUAUUUUUCAAGGAACAAGGCAGUUAUCAGUUAUUCUCAGUCGUGUUGUGUAAAGAUAGAAAAGGUUACCUCUGUAGACAACUGCUCCUUCUGUUUCUGGAUCGCAGUCUCUAUGAAACUGUCAGCUUCACUAAAAGAAUAUUUCAUCCCCCAUUCAUCGGCUUCACCAGAUUCUAGGUCACGUAGCUGAGAACUCGUGCAUGUAUAUGAUUCUUCAUAUCCAAACUGAUUGCGGUUAAGAGUGUCCGCGUCUCUCAAAACAUUUUUUAUAGCUUCUAAUUCAAAGCUACUACUAAUAAACUCCAUUUCAUGGGCACUCUCGUUUAGCUCUUCCCUUCGUUUUCUCAGCACAGAUUCAUAGCUUUCAUGGGUAAAGUCCGGUGAAGUCUCUCUUUUCCGGCCUUUUUCAAGACAAAGGUCCUCGACAGUUUGAAGUGCUCCCUCGUAGCUUAAGUGCUCGCAUUUUCUCUCGAAGAGGUUCUGCAAGUCACGGACCUCCUUCUCAAGAAUCUCCAUGGUCUUUUGUCCUUGAUUUGUUUUCUCUUCCACUGUGCGCAUCCAAAUCGCAGUUUGUUCCCCACUAGAGGGUCCUGAGAAGAUCCAUGAUAGAAAACCAUCCGCACCAGAAGACACAUUAUUGCCAUUAGCAAUAUCUUCAGAACUGGCAAUAUCUCCAUUAUUCAAUGCUGAGCCCAUAUGUUUGUCUUGGAUGCACUCUGAGCCAAGCAAUUUUUCAUCCAGAAGAAGGCAUGACCCUUCACCAUCAAGACAAAUCUCUUCUGUAAUUUGAAGACCCAGGUCAACAAAAUUAUUAACUUCAUCGUUGGGGUUACUUUGUUCCGAAUAUCGACUCACCCCACAUGCAUGUGACAAGUCUUGCAGGAAUUGAAGAAUUUUCUUGAGCUGGGAAGCUCCCAAGAAGCGUAUGCAUAUGGGUGACUGACACAAACCACGAUUUAAGAAUUGCGAAACCGAGGGUAGAUUCCGUAGUUCAUCCAGAGUAAACUGUAUCACCUUAUCAUAAUGGCUGGUAGCUAAAUAACUGUGUUUGAUAAGUAGCUCAAAUGCUGCACGGAUGCUUUUAAGGAGCUUUGUACGUUCAGGAUCAUCAGAUAUCGGCCAUUCAUCAGGAAGAUAAAACGGAUUUGGCAGCCUACCCUUUUCCGACUCAUUCUUCUCAUAACCGUUGCAAGCAUCUCCAAUUUUUUCUUUCUCUGGUGAAGUAUCAUUCCAUGCAUCCUGGAAGCAAUCGUCACCAUCGUCCAUGUAAUCUUCAGCGUAAAACUCAUUGAACUCAGUAUUUUGGAUUUUCUGCUGGCUGCAACGCAAUUUCACCGCAGCAGGAAAAUCCAAUGGUUUCCAUGGGGAAGUAAGAAGCAUCUCAAUCCUCUCACUAUCGAGACUCUGAGGCAAAACCAUUUGCAUCUUAGGCAAAACGUUACCUAUAUGCUCCCCUACAAUAUGCUGCAUAUAAGACUCAGAAUCCUUGAACUUUUCACUACACUUGCAGCAAACCCAAAACCGCCAAGUCUUAUUAGCUUCACAAAAGGACAAAGCUUCAGUUAUUAUAUCAUUUGCAUCGCCAUCCUUGGAUGCGCUAAAGUGACUCUUAAGAUCACUAACCUUAAUCCUAAGCAAUUCUUUUUUCAUUUCUUUGCCUGUAGACUCCCAAUAUGAUCUAACCCGAUCUCUUCUCUCUACUGUAGAGUCGUUCUUCCUUGCAUUUCCAUGCUUUCUCCUCUCCACGCUUCUCUGACCGGAGCCUAAUGCUGGAUCUGAUCCCUUACUGUUAACACUAUCUACCGAGGAAGAUUCUGAUUUCUGCUGCAACAACCUACCUGCAGCCACCCUCACUUCAAUCUCCUUCCUCCUCUCUUCAAGAGUCUUGGUAGCUUUCUUAAUCUCGUUCGGCCUCCUGGUCUGAACCAAGUUACUCUCAAUAGGAUCCUCAGCCAUCUUCCUCAUGUCAAACAACCGAAACUCCCCUUCUCCAUUUCUCAGAUGUUUCAUCCAAGUGGACAACGAACCAAGAUUAGACUUCUGUAUCAGUGACCUGAGCUCAUCCUGAACAUUCGCAAUACGAGCCUCAGGUGUCAAUAUCUUGUGCUGACUCUCGUCCUGGAGACUAUCUUUAGCAGGAUCGAUUGGAUUCUCAAUGGAGAGGGCUCUGUGACACUCCUGCAGAACCUCCUCGUACUCUCUACCAUCGCUAGCAGCCUCGUAAAGCAGGUUAGCAUAAAAAUGGGCAAACUCAAUAGAGUUGGGAGAUAGCUCCACAGCUUUUCUAGCGGAUUCAAUAGCGCUACGGAUGUACUUCUGUUUAGUAACUGCGUCUUCGUAUACAGAAGAAACCUUCACGCACACAGUACCUUGGACACGGUGAAUCAGGGCAGAGUGUUGGUGGCGAGAGCAUGAUUCCUUCAUGAGCCGAAUCGCCUUGUUGUAGCUACCUCGCCGGAAUGACGUCAGUGCCUUCUCGCACUCGACCUUGAUUUCAGCCAAAUUUGACGGCUCGUCGCCAUCAUAGGAGGUACAAGCGGAAACCUCAGAGGACGGCUCAGCCUCCGCCGCUGAAGAAGAUAGCGAUUGCUUGGAGCGAGGCGCGGGGGGUUUCUUCUUCUGACCCAUCGACGACGAUUCAGUUCAAACCUAAUUUAAUCCCGCAUGAAGAAGAGAUGCGUCCAACAAAUGCUCAAAGACGGUUAAACCGGAAAUUAAGUUGCAGUCAGCAUACGGCGUCGCGUCGGGGAUUACGAGAACGUAGUACGACGGAGAGGGUUGGUGAGGUAGAAGAGAUGGAGAGUAGAAGAAGACUCGUUGUCGUCUCUCUCUCUCUCUCUCUGUGGGGUGCGAAAAGGGGAUUGAUUUAUUAACUGAGUGAGAUUUACAUCGCGAUUAUUGAUUUAGAAGAGAUAUAUUUGUUCGGUUUAUUUCAAAUUUUGUGGUUUGGUGCGGUUGAACCGUCUGUUCCUUUCAUGCUACAUUUCUCUAAUUUAUCAGUAUACUAGAUUUUGGAAUUAAAUAAUUUUUAUAUAAACUAGACUAGGGUCGGCCCGGACUACGUGUAGCGACCGUGUUCCGAAGAUCGAUGUUAGGAUGAUAUGAGGACUGACUGGCCGAACUGUGAGAACGUACUGAAUGGAUUGGAUGAUGCUAGAAAGAGCUGAUCAGAGUUCGAAGGACUUUCCGUGGGUGGAUGGGAGAACUUGGAUCGGCGCCUGAUUAGUAGCGACUAGAGCGGAACCAUGUACCCGAUUAAAGCUAGGAACAGAUCUGUUUUUGAGCCAACAAAGCUCCAUCAGUCGGUCUUACGCUCGGGUUAUUGGACAGGCCGUUCAGUUUGUUGAAACUCAGGAUGUUCGGGCAACUCGAUGAAAAUCCAGGCAAAGCGGAAUUUUUGGACAGCGAUGGUCGGAUCCGGACAAGUGUUGUUGGAUUCGGACAAUACGGUUGAACUGGUUGGCUAGACAGCGAUUGUCUGAAAUCAGACAAGACAGUUAAGACUGUCGGCUAAGCUGAGAUGAGCUGAUUCAGUAGUAUCAGUCUGAUUCGGAUAAGGCGGGUAGAGUUGUCGACUAGAUCAGUCAGCUCUAGCUCGAGUUUCGUCUAAGUAAAACUGGCGGGAAGAGUUAAAGUCCGAAAAGGGGAAAAACUCGCGCUGGAACGCUUUGGAGCGCGGGGUGGCGGUUACGGAUUAAGAGCCGCGAGUAAAAUAAGCGGGAAUGGUUAACUUGGCAGUUUUUCGGGCCUAGACCGCCCAACUGCCCAUUUUAAUCGUCUCCUUUGUUUUAUUUUUCCAUUUCUGUACGGAAAACAAAAAGAAAGAAUCAGAGAGAAACUCAGAAGGAGAAAAGUCUGAUUAAGAGAGAGUUUUCGAUAUUUGGCUGGAUUGAUCAAGUCCGAGUCAAGAAUGAUCGUCUGUUGGGUGAAUCCGACUGUCUGAGCGUUCGAAGAUCCGACGGAAACCGCUCAAGAGGUGUCAGAAGAAACCGAAUCAAACAGAACAAACCGACUCUAAGAAAAAGGUGAGUGCGUGACUGUAGCCUAUCGUACUGAAUCGUAGUCUGAUUGAUAGGAAUGUUCUAUGUACUGAUUGCUUGUCUAAUUUGAAUUAUCUGCUAAGUUCUGGCUUGGUCCGAACAGUCGGUUCCUUCCAUCGACGCAUCUGGAUCAGAUCAUGCGCCUAGAGCCGUAUUGGCCUGCUAGGGCUUGACUGAAUCUGAUGGCGCUUUGGCUUGGAACGAUUGGGUCGGCUAAGUAACUGACUGAUGAUAAGCAUGUCCGUUUAUUGACUGAUUGACUCGAUUUCCUUACUUGGUUGAGUGGGACGGAAUGACCGCUCUCACUAAGCAUACUGUUUGCUUAUGCCUCCUUGUUUGGAUGCAGAUCGAGACCAGACCCGAAAGGGUAAAGACAUAGCUUGAUUGUGGGACAAGGGCAGGAAGGAAGGAUGGUGGGUUUGGGUAGAUAUAGGACGAGAUUAACAUGUAAUAGCCUAUAGCGAACUGACUUGUUAACUCGUAUCUCAGAUUAUCUAUUCAAAUCGUAUUAUGCUUUACUUAACUGUCUGAAAAAGAACGAACACUCUGAAAUAAUUCUAAGUAAGGAAAAAUUUGAAAAUUGCCCAAGUCUGAUCGAGGAAGUCGAGCCAGACUCGUACUGAUGUUACGAAAAAAUGGGUCGGGUCAUUUCAAGUGGUAUCAGUGCGGAGUCGAGUUCUAGGACAAUCUAAGUAUAGUGGGUUAUUGGGGCAAACCAUCCUUCCAAGCUUGCCGUCUCGCGGUAAAUUUUGUGUUCCGUGUCCUGAUCCCAAGUUAGUUUUGACUAACUUACCUGUGAUCUUGUUGCAGAUGGCAAAAAGUAACCGUAACACAAGAAGGACUGUGAAUGAGACCGCUGAGGGGUCUGCGAGCAACGUGGCCAGGAAUGAAGCUGGUACGAAAGAGGCUCGGAAUGCUACUCAGAAUGCAGCGAAUUUGAACAAUGCUGCAGCGGCUGGUGCUGCUGCUGCUCCGGUUGGGUUGGAAGCCGUUUUGGCUAUCUUGGCGCAAGUCUUGGCAAGAUUGCCUGCUGCGGCGGCACCUCCAGUGGCUCCACCUAUUUCGGAGGAAGUGGAGAACGUGGUGCCUGAAGGAGAGGAGGCACACGUUGUUAGGAAUCCGUCUUACCUCAAGGUUAUGGACCACAUGCAGAAACUGGGAACAAAGUUCUUUUCGGGUGGUUCCAAACCAAAGGAAGCAGAUCAAUGGAUUGACAGGAUAGGGCGAAACUUUAAGUCAAUCUGUUGUCCUCUUGCUUACAAGAAGGACAUUGCUGUCCACUACUUGGACGGUGAUGCGCACCUCUGGUGGCGAGGUGUAGCGGCUCGGAUUGGUGUUGAGCAGUGCACGUGGGCCAACUUUAAGACCGAAUUUCGUGGGAAGUAUUUUCCGCCGGAAGCAUAUGAUCAGCUCGAGGGAGCUUUUCUCAGACUGGAACAGGGAACUAUGACUGUAAGGGAGUAUGAAGCGGAAUUCAACAGCCUCAAGAAGUAUGCUGGGCGUGAGGCUGGGUCGGAAAUCUCCUCGGUCCGCAAAUUCAUGCGCGGACUCAGGGUUGAUCUCCGAACUCGUUGUAAGAUCCACAACUAUGAUACUGUGGCCGAACUGGUGAAAAAGGCCGCAGAACAGGAAGCUGGAAUCAGUGAGGAAGCCAAGGUGUUUGGCACAGUGGCGCAUGUCCAUCCUAGUAAGCAUGCGGGAAAGAAUCAAAAGCCGGUGAAGGCUGGCUCUUCCAGCAAGCCGAAUGCAACAGGUCGCAGUGCGUGUUUGACUUGCGGGAAGAUGCACUCUGGUGUCUGUCGUGCUGCUACGGGAGCUUGUCACCGUUGCGGAAGUAUGGAUCACAAGGUGCGUGAAUUCCCUGAGGAAGAUCUAAGGCCGAAGAGCCAGAACAAGGGUGCUGGGGAACGUGUGUGCUACAACUGCGGCGAAACAGGGCACUACAAGAAUCAGUGUCCGAAGGACGCACAAUCUGCUGGGAAGCGUCCGAGUGAUGGGCCUCAGCCGGUGGCAAAUAGGCAGGCCAUCAUGUCGCGGGUGUACACAAUCGGUGAUGAGUCGAUGGACCCAAGCACGUCUCGUCCGAUCACUGGUGAGUCAUCCUAUCUCUCACCUUUGCCUUAAGAAUUUUUGUGUGAAAUUGCUUGCUUGUAGAGUAGGUCCUUAGUGUUCCGGGUGAAUAUGUAGGGACCUUAGUCAUGGGUGGAGUGGCAACCCAUGUUCUGUUUGAUUCUGGUGCAUCUCACUGCUUUGUGCAACCCGAGAUGAUUGGAAUGGGAGAAUUUCAGAAAGAACCAGAAGAAGAAGUAAAAGUGGUUCGGGCAGCUGGUUGUCAGAUCAUGUACACUUCAGGGAAAAUCCGAAACGUCUCUGUGAUGAUCGGAGGAGUGAACAUGCCAGCCGACUUGGUCGUUUGCCCAGUGAAAUCAUACGAUGUGAUCCUUGGAAUGGAUUGGCUGAGCAAAUACAAGGCACAUCUUGAUUGUCAUCGUGGUCGAGUUCAGUUUGAGAUAGGCAAUGGAAAGCUUGUCUAUCAAGGGGUCAGACCGACCAAUGGGAGUCUGAUCAUUUCAGCACUUCAAGCAGAAAGAAUGCUGGAAAAAGGAUGUGAGGCUUAUCUGGCUUCAAUCACAACUGUGGAAGUCGGACCUGAUGCUGAGUUGGAAGGGAUUCCGAUUGUAAAGGAGUAUGAUGACGUGUUCGAAUCCUUGACAGGAUUACCACCGGACCGUUCUGAUCCUUUCACGAUUGAGCUUGAGCCGGGCACAAAGCCAAUCUCGAAAGCUCCUUACCGGAUGGCUCCGGCUGAAAUGGCAGAACUCAAGAAACAGUUAGAUGAACUGAUGGAGAAAGGGUUUGUGCGCCCGAGCAGUUCACCUUGGGGCGCACCGGUUCUGUUCGUGAAGAAGAAAGAUGGUAGCUUCAGGCUAUGCAUUGAUUACAGGGGGAUUAACAGAGUCACAGUGAAGAACAAGUACCCUCUUCCAAGGAUUGACGUGUUAUUGGACCAUCUCCGAGGUGCUACUUGUUUCUCCAAGAUUGAUUUAGCUUCGGGAUACCAUCAGAUUCCGAUUGCUGAAGAGGAUGUCCGUAAGACAGCCUUCAGAUCGAGAUACGGCCACUACGAGUUUGUGGUCAUGCCCUUCGGAUUGACCAACGCCCCUGCAGCCUUUAUGAAGAUGAUGAAUAACGUUUUCAGAGACUACCUGGAUGAAUUCGUUAUAGUCUUCAUAGACGACAUCUUGAUCUACUCAAAGAAUCAGGAAGAGCACAAGGACCAUCUGAGAAUGGUUUUGGAUAAGCUGCGGGAACUUAAGUUGUUUGCCAAGCUCAGCAAAUGCAGUUUUUGGCAAAGAGAAAUUGGUUUCUUGGGUCAUGUGGUCUCGGACAAGGGAGUGUCCGUGGACCAAGAGAAUAUCAAGGCCAUUGCGGACUGGCCCAGACCAAGGAACACAACAGAGAUCAGGAGUUUUCUCGGACUGGCUGGAUACUACUGACGGUUUGUUAAGGGUUUUGCCAGCAUGGCUCAAUCGUUGACAAAGUUGACCGGGAAAGAUGUUCAGUUCGUGUGGACAGAAGGCUGUGAUGUGAGUUUCAGCAAACUCAAGAUGAUGUUGACGACUACUCCAGUAUUGGCUCUUCCAAUGGACAACGAGCCAUACGUGGUGUACACAGAUGCAUCCAAAGUGGGACCUGGGUGCGUAUUGAUGCAGCAAGGCAAAGUUAUCGCGUAUGCGUCUAGACAGCUAAGGAAACAUGAAGGGAACUAUCCAACACACGACUUAGAGAUGGUUGCUGUCGUGUUUGCCCUGAAGAUAUGGCGGUCUUAUCUCUAUGGUGCCAAGUCUUCACGGACCAUAAGAGCUUGAAGUAUAUCUUUACUCAACCAGAGCUGAACCUUAGACAGAGGCGUAGGAUGGAACUGGUUGCGGAUUACGACUUGGAUAUUGCCUACCAUCCGGGAAAGGCAAAUCUGGUCGCGGAUGCCUUGAGCCGGAAGAGAGUAGCUUCGGCUUCAGAGAAACACAUGGAGGAACUAGUUCACAUGGUUGGAACCUUACGACUAGCUGCCUUGACUGACGAAGUGGAACCGUUGGGUCUUGGUGCAGCGGAUCAGGCGGACUUGUUGUCCUGAGUUCGCCUUGCACAGGAUAAAGAUGAAGAUCUGAUCAAAGCUUCCAAGAAGGAGAAAACGGAGUAUCAGACUUCAAACAAUGGGACGAUUCUGGUUAACGGCCGAGUGUGUGUUCCUAACGACAAAGGACUGCGGGAUGAGAUCCUGAAGGAGGCACACCAGUCAAAGUUUUCGAUACAUCCAGGAGCCAAUAAGAUGUACCGAGACUUGAAGAGAUACUAUCAUUGGGUUGGAAUGAAGCGUGAUGUUACAAAAUGGGUAGCUGGGUGUCCAAUCUGCCAAAUGGUUAAGGCAGAAAAUCAAGUUCCGAGUGGACUACUUCAGAGUUUACCCAUCCCAGAAUGGCCUUGGGAUAAAAUCACGAUGGAUUUCGUGACUGGCUUGCCAAUCAGGAACGACAAGGACGCUAUCUGGGUUAUAGUGGAUAGAUUGACCAAGUCCGCACACUUCUUGGCUAUCAACAAAACAGACAAUCCUGCGGUGCUAGCCAAGUUGUAUGUGGAAGAGAUCGUCAGACUUCAUGGAGUUCCGGUAAGCAUAGUGUCAGACCGAGACUCCAAGUUUUAUUCGGCCUUCUGGAGAGCUAUGCAGAAGUCGAUGGGGACCAAGGUCCAUAUGAGUACAGCAUAUCAUCCGCAAACGGAUGGAUAGUCAGAGAGGACAAUCCGAACACUUGAAGACUUACUGUGAUCUUGUGUUCUGAAUUGGGGAGACAAAUGGGAUCAAUACUUGCAUCUGGCUGAGUUUUCUUACAACAACAACUAUCAUGCAAGCAUUUGAAUGUCGCCUUACGAGGCAUUGUACGGACGUUCGUGUAGGACACCGUUAUGCUGGACCCAAGUGGGGGAGCGCAGCAUAUUUGACCGAGAUUUUGUAGAAGAGACAAAUGAAAGAAUCCGAGUCUUGAAACUAAAGAUGAAAGAGUCUCAGGACAGACAGAAGAGUUAUGCAGACAGACGCAGAAAAGACCUUGAGUUCGAAGUAGGAGACAUGGUAUAUCUCAAAACCGUCACCUACAAAGGCAAGGAUCGAUCCUCAAAGAAUGCCAAGCUGAGUCCAAGAUACAUGGGGCCGUACAAGAUCCUGGAAAGGAUUGGAAAGGUCGCCUACAAACUGGAGCUGCCCUCAUCGAUGGCUCAGUUCCAUAACGUGUUCCAUGUAUCUUUGCUACGAAAAUGCAUACGGAAUCAAGACAACGUGGUUCCUGAACCACCAUCUGACUUGAGAGAGAACCUUACUGUAGAGGGACGACCAGUCCGGAUCAUUGGAAGAAAAACCAAACCUGAAGGCAGAAAGAAUAUCAAAAUGAUCCAAGUCGUUUGGGACUGCGAUGGAGAGGAAGAAACGACUUGGGAGCCAGAGGCGAGAAUGAAAGCUGAAUUUCCAAAGUGGUUUGACAAAUUCACGGAAGAUUCAGGAAGAAAGACUCGAGGACGAGUCUGAGCCAAGUGGGGGAGAACUUGUAGCGACUGUGUUCCGAAGAUCGAUGUUAGGAUGAUAUGAGGACUGACUGGCCGAACUGUGAGAACGUACUGAAUGGAUUGGAUGAUGCUAAAAAGAACUGAUCAGAGUUCGAAGGACUUUCCGUGGGUGGAUGGGAGAACUUGGAUUGGCUCCAGAUCUGUUUUUGAGCCAACAAAGCUCCAUCAGUCGGUCUUACGCUCGGGUUAUUGGACAGGCCGUUCGGUUUGUUGAAACUCAGGAUGUUCGGGCAACUCGAUGAAAAUCCAGGCAAAGCGGAAUUUUUGGACAGCGAUGGUCGGAUCCGGACAAGUGUUGUUGGAUUCGGACAAUACGGUUGAACUGGUUGGCUAGACAGCGAUUGUCUGAAAUCAGACAAGACAGUUAAGACUGUCGGCUAAGCUGAGAUGAGCUGAUUCAGUAGUAUCAGUCUGAUUCGGACAAGGCGGGUAGAGUUGUCGACUGGAUCAGUCAGCUCUAGCUCGAGUUUCGUCUAAGUAAAACUGGCGGGAACAGUUAAAGUCCGAAAAGGGGAAAAACUCGCGCUGGAACGCUCUGGAGCGCGGGGUGGCGGUUACGGAUUAAGAGCCGCGAGUAAAAUAAGCGGGAAUGGCUAACUUGGCAGUUUUUCGGGCCUAAACCGCCCAACUGCCCAUUUUAAUCGUCUCCUUUGUUUUAUUUCGCCAUUUCUGUACGGAAAACAAAAAGAAAGAAUCAGAGAGAAACUCAGAAGGAGAAAAGUCCGAUUAAGAGAGAGUUUUCGAUAUUUGGCUGGAUUGAUCAAGUCCGAGUCAAGAACGAUCGUCUGUGGGGUGAAUCCGACUGUCUGAGCGUUCGAAGAUCCGAUGGAAACCGCUCAAGAGGUGUCAGAAGAAACCGAAUCAAACAGAACAAACCGACUUUAAAAAAAAGGUGAGUGCGUGACCGUAGCCUAUCGUACUGAAUCGUAGUCUGAUUGAUAGGAAUGUUCUAUGUACUGAUUGCUUGUCUAAUUCGAAUUAUCUGCUAAGUUCUGGCUUGGUCCGAACAGUCGGUUCCUUCCAUCGACGCAUCUGGCUCAGAUCAUGCGCCUAGAGCCGUAUUGGCCUGCUAGGGCUUGACUGAAUCUGAUGGCGCUUUGGCUUGGAAUGAUUGGGUCGGCUAAGUAACUGACUGAUGAUAAGCAUGUCCGUUUAUUGACUGAUUGACUCGAUUGCUUUACUUGGCUGAGUGGGACGGAAUGACCGCUCUCACUAAGCAUACUGUUUGCUUAUGCCUCCUUGUUUGUAUGCAGAUCGGGACCAGACCCGAAAGGGUAAAGACAUAGCUUGAUCGCGGGACAAGGGCAGGAAGGAAGGAUGGUGGGUUUGGGUAGAUAUAGGACGAGAUUAACAUGUAAUAGCCUAUAGCGAACUGACUUGUUAACUCGAACCUCAGAUUAUCUAUUCAAAUCGUAUUAUGUUUUACUUAACUGUCUGAAAAAGAACGAACACUCUGAAAUAAUUCUAAGUAAGGAAAAAUUUGAAAAUGGCCCAAGUCUGAUCGAGGAAGUCGAGCCAGACUCGUACUGAUGUUACGAAAAAAUGGGUCGGGUCAUUUCAAGUGGUAUCAGUGCGGAGUCGAGUUCUAGGACAAUCUAAGUAUAGUGGGUUAUUGGGGCAAACCAUCCUUCCAAGCUUGCCGUCUCGCGGUAAAUUUUGUGUUCCGUGUCCUGAUCCCAAGUUAGUUUUGACUAACUUACCUGUGAUCUUGUUGCAGAUGGCAAAAAGUAACCGUAACACAAGAAGGACUGUGAAUGAGACCGCUGAGGGGUCUGCGAGCAAUGUGGCCAGGAAUGAUUUGAAAAUGGUCCAAGUCUAAUCGAGGAAGUUGUGCCAGACUCGUACUGAUGUUACGAAAAAAUGGGUCUGGUCCUUUCACUACGCCCGGGAUUUUUUAUUUAAAUUUAAAUGUUGAUUGUAUAUUAUUAUGUUUAUUUUAUUUAUAAAUAUUAUAAUCUAUUAUAAAAAAUAUAAGUAGCCAAACAAUUAUAAAAUCAAUUUAAAUUAUUCAUUGUUCAAUUACGCAUUUUAAUAUUUUUAAUAUCCAUUUUUUUGUUAUUAGAAAUUAUAUAUAAGGUGAUGAGUAGAAUAAACAAAAAUUAUUAUUAUUUAGUUAUGGUGUUUAAUUAAUUAUGUCGAAUAAGGUGAUACUGUGUCGUUUAGGAGUGAUAGAGAUGUUAAGCGUGUGCUGAUUUGGUGUUAUACCUAUUAGAGUGUGUGUUGUUUAUGUGUUGACUCUUGAGAAUGUGUGUUGUUUUAAUGACUUUAAUUAAACGUGUUUGUCAUCUUACAUAGGAUCCACAUAAAACCUAAAUUUCUUUACACAAACAUUUCUUUUCACGCCGCAAACUAAUUUUCUCAACUAAACUCAUCACUUUCAAACGUCAAAGCAACCCUUUGACUCUCUGCAAAUCAGAAACCGUAAACUCAUCCCUAUCAAAUCUUGACUCUGCGUAAAUCAAAAGCAAGCAUUCUUUUUUUUUCUUUUGGCUUUUUGUACUUUUUUGCGGAUAACCCGCUAAACCCGCUUGAUUGAUGCGGGGUGGGUGCGGUAAUCGAAAUCCGGUCAUGCGGGUCUUGCGGGUAAAAUUUUCAAGUGAAAAAAUGAGUUUAACCCGCGGCGGGGCGGGUUGAGCGGGGCGGGUUGAGCGGGGCGGAUCCGACCUGCUUCCCAGGCCUAAUCAUGGGUCUAGAGGAAGCAGCAGGAUUGAAACAGUUACCAACGGCGUUAGGAUGCGUCUCCGUUCUUCACUGCUGUCGUAUUAGGGUUAGCAAAACUCAGACUUAUCCGGCCAGUUACGCUUUCUUUAUCACAGCCCAAUAACAUGUAAAAUAACGAAGCCCAAUAAGAUGAUGUUAAUGAGACGCUGCGUUUCUUCUCCCUGGACACGUGGCAGCACUACAAACCUCGACUUUCUGACCUGGCGCUGACGUGGAUGCACAGGAGUGAAGCAAACAUAUUUUUAUAUAUAUAGAUUCUUUCUCCGCGCAUAUAUUUAAAUUUGUUACAUUUAUCAUGUGAAUUUUUGUAUAUUAAAUUAUAUAUAACUAAUUUUUAAAUUUGAUUUUUUUUUUAUAUUUUUAGUUUGAAGUAAGUAUUUCUGUUAUAUGCAACACAAUUAACUAAUAAAAUAUGAAGAAUCAAGUCCGAGAUUUAGAGUUAUGUAAAAAAUAUAUAAUUAUGUAUAGAAUUUAAAUUAUCUUAGUUUAAAAGAUCGGAAUCUCAUCUCGAAUAAAUUCACGAAAAGAAUCUAUAUAGAGUUAGUUUAUAGAUUACUCUAUUUGUUUCAAAAUGUAAUCAGUUUUAAUUAAAAUCUGUAAUAUUUAAGUUAUUACUUUAGAAAACUGUCAUUUAAUAUAUAAAUUUAAUCAAUUACACAGUAAUUUACAUAAUUUAAUUAGCCACACAAUAUCCAAUAAAUAUAAAGUUACAUUGAAAUAUAAAAACAAUUUAUAUAGUGAAACAAAAAAUACUUUUAAACCAUUAUAUUAUAAAACAUUGAAAUAUAUAUAUAUAUAUAUAUAUAUAUUUUCUUUUUUUGUAAAAACAAUUUAUAUAGUGAACCAAAAAAAUACUUUUAAACCAUUAUAUUAUAAAACAAAGAGAAUAUUCAAAAUAUAUUGAAACAAUAGAAUAGUAAGAAUCAGAAAAGCUGAAAUCUCAACGUCGAUCAUUUACGUUGGUCAUGCCUUAGACCAUCUCCAAUGUAUUCCUCUAUUCCUUUUUUCUUUUUUUUUUUUUUUUUUUGACAGCAAACAUUUACAGACUCAUGUAAACUCUGUAAACCAAGGUGGUAAAACUACAUCCAUGUGCACGACGAAAGACAGUUGUUGCCGAGCACUCUGUGCCAAGCUAUCCGCCCUUUUGUUCUCCAUCCUAGGAACAUGAACAAUUUCUGAGUUGACAAAACUUUGUCGCAAAGUCUUGAUAUCUUCCAGGUAGCUUUCAAAUGCUGGUCAUUCCUCUGAUUCCGAAACCAUCUUCACCAGUUGAGAACAAUCCAUUGCAAACGUAACCUGAAACUGCCUUAAAUUUCGCAUACAUUCCAUCGCCCAAAUCAAUGCCUCCAUCUCCGAAUGAAGAGGUGAGAGGGAUGCCCUUACAUUUCGUGCUCCCAAUAAGCCAUCAAACCCUGGCAGCGUGCUAUGCCAUCCUUGUCCUGAAAAAAAAUCCUUAUCUUUCCUAGAACUAUCCGUGAAACACCAUCGUCCUAUGGUCCCUAUAUCAGGCCGUACUUGUACUUCCUGUACCAAUCUACGAUCUUUAAUAACUUGUGCCUCAGCCCACAAUGUUGAUUCCACUUCUGCCAAUCUCAGCAUGUCUCUUGGGUCCAUAUCUAAGUUACUGAACACUUUGUUGUUCCGACCCUUCCAAAUAUACCAUAAUAUCCAUGCAAACUGGUGAUCCACCAAUUUUGGAUUAAGUCUCCAGAAUAGAUGAUCCAUAUUAGCAAAAAGAGAGCCAAUUGGGAAAAUGUUUGGAUUUGAUGGGAUCUUGGAUAAUGCCCACACUUGACGUGCUGGAGGACAUUCAAAAAACACAUGGUUUAUUGAUUCCUCCGGAGCUCCGCACCUGGCACAGCAGGUGUCUCCUUGCAUCCCUCGUGCUUUUAAUGUUUUCGUCACCGCUAUACAACCAGAUACCAGCUGCCAAAGAAAGUGUUUUAGCUUCGGAGGACACCUCACCUUCCAACAGUAUGCCUUAAGGAUAUCCACAUUAGGGCCAUAAAAAUCAGGUGGUUUCUCCUUGUCAGGAUAAAUCCUUUCUACCUGAUAUCCUGAUUGUACCGUAUAUUUUCUAUUUUUUGUGAAAUGCCAUCCAUUCCUAUCUGCCAACUGAUUUCUGCCCAAUGGUAUACUCUCAAUUAUUUUUGCAUCUUGUGGAUCCACCAAGUCCCUAAUUGCCUGUACAUUCCAUGUGCGUGAUUCUUGAUUAAUGAAAUAAUCUACAGUGAGGUCCGGGUAACUAUUAUGUAGGUUUUUGUUGGCUGGUCUCGGGCGAGUGGAUGGGAGCCAAGGGUCAUUCCAUACUGAAAUAGAUGAUCCUGUUCCUACCCUUUUAAUUAGUCCUUUAUAAACCAGAGAUCUAGCAGAAGUAAUACUCCUCCAGCCAUAUGACGGGGAGUAUGAGCGAAUCGGUUCCAGGGGUGAAGAAUUCCUGUAAUACCGUCCUUUGAAGACUCGAGCAAAGAGGGAAUUUGGCUUCCUGAUCAGCCGCCACAACUGUUUCCCAAGCAUUGCCGUAUUAAAAUCAGUCAAAUCCUUAAAACCCAACCCACCAUUGUCUUUAUGGGCACAUACUUUAUCCCAUGAUUUCCAAUGCAUACCUCUUGUGCUACCUCCUGGGCUCCACCAAAAUUGGGCGACUGCACCUGUGAGCUUCUUCACUGUAGUUUUCGGCAACCGGUACACAGACAUCACAUGGUUUGGCAAAGCCGUAAUCACUGAUUUAAUGAUCACCUCUUUUCCACCCUUGGUAAAAAAAUGAAAGGUCCAUCCAUUAACCCUACUAUUCAGCCGUUCUUGUACAAAGCCAAACACUUGUACUUUAGAGCCACCUAGACUUUCCGGUAGUCCUAAAUAAGAUCUCAUUCCACCUAAAUUCUGGAUUCCCAAAAUAUCCCUCAAUUCUUGACGGCUAGCCUCUUCAAUCUUAUGUCCAAAUUGAAUGGAAGAUUUCUGAAAAUUAAUUUGUUGCCCUGAGACAGUUUCGUAUUCCUUUAGAAUCCUGAGAAUAGUCUGACACUCCUCCUUUUUUGCCUUGCAGAAAAACAAACUAUCAUCUGCAAAUAACAAAUGAGAGAUUGCAGGGCAAGCUCUUGCCACUUUCAUACCAGUUAAAUGUUUCAUCCGCUCUGCCUUUUUAAUAUUUGAAAUUAAUGCCUCCGUACACAUAAUAAAUAAAUAAGGGGAUAAGGGAUCCCCUUGCCGUAAACCUCGCUGGGGGGUUAUAAGACCCCGAGGUUGCCCAUUUAUAAGAACCCUGUAUUGGACUGAAGAAAUACAUUCGCGCAUUAAUUUGAUCCAGUGAGAAUCAAAACCCAUUUUGUAAAGGAGAGCCUCAAUGAAGUUCCACUCUAUCCGAUCAUAAGCCUUGCUCAUAUCUGUUUUAAUUGCCAUAAAAUUAUUCUGACAAGACUUAUUGGCUCUCAAACCAUGAAACAUUUCCUGUGCAAUAAGAAUAUUAUCCGAAAUUAGCCUUCCUGCCACAAAAGCCGAUUGUGUUUCCGAAAUUAGCCUGGGAAGACAACUUUUCAAUCUUUGACACAAAACUUUCGAUAUAAUCUUGUAGCCAACAUUACAAAGACUUAUCGGCCUUAGUUCCGUCAUCCUUGUCGGCCUCUCCACUUUUGGUAUCAUACAAAUAUUAGUUAAAUUCAUCCUUGGAUCCAGAUCGCCUGUAAUCAAAAAAUUAUUCACCAGCUCCACCACAUCUGUUUUAAUAACAUGCCAAGAAUGUUGAAAAAAGAGAGCCGUCAUCCCAUCCGGCCCUGGCGCUUUUUCUGGAUGCAUCAUAAAUAGUGCUUGUCUGACUUCUUCCUCUGUUGCUAACCGUAGUAGCAUUUGAUUCAUCUGUGGAGAAAUUGUUGGUCCUAUCUCUUCCAGAAAACUAUCAAACUCAGUAGGAUUAGAAGAAUGAAACAAACCCUCAAAGUAAUUUACCGCCACAUUUUCAACACCAUUCUCAUCUGUAAUCCAUUUACCCGUAUCAUCAUGAAGGCCGACUAUUUUAUUUCGAAUGCGUCGUUGCUUUGUCAAAGCAUGAUAAAAUUUUGUGUUAAGAUCCCCGGAUGAAUGCCACAUAUUCCGACUCUUCUGAUGCCAAUACUCUUCCUCAUCCUUAUACGCCUCUUGUAAUUUCCUGGAAAUCUCAAUAAUCUCCUCUUGUGAUCUGUUGUUAUCUGUUUGUACCUCCUCCAGAGCUUGUUGAAGAUUAUGAAUUUUUUCCUUUCCAUAUGGUUGAUUUUCCUUCCGCCAAGAUGAUAUCUCAUGUCGGCAGUUACUAAUUUUAGUAAUAAAAUCCUCUGAUUGACCUGUUCUGGAUUCUGUCCAGCCCGAUACAAUUGACUCCAUUAGUCCCUCUUGGCCUAACCACCUUUUAUCAAACCUAAAUUGUCCCCUUCUUCUCUUUGAUGAUCUGUCUUCCAAAAAAGCAAUCACAGGGCGAUGAUCCGAUCCCACCAUCCUCAAGUAUUCUGUAUAAGAAACUGGAAACAGUGUGUGCCAUUCUUCAUUAGCUAAGGCUCGAUCCAAUCUGCAUCUGACCAUCACCGUUCCUUUCCCUUUGCCUCUCCGGCCUUGCCAUGACAAUUUAUUACCUCGAGCUGGGAAUUCCAAUAACCCACUAUUUCGUAUCAUAUUAUUAAAAGGAAUAAAAGAUGUUGCACAUCGUAAAGAACCCCCAUCAUUUUCAUGAUUCCCAGUAAUCUCAUUUAGAUCUCCUAUAAUAAACCAAGGAUCCGACCUGGAUAACCCAUACCGGGUUAAUCGCUCCCAAACUUGUUCCCUUAGUUUCUGAUCCGGUUCACCAUAUACAAAUGUAAGGAAAACUUGUUUCCCUUUGACCACAGCCUCAACAUCAAUCAUUCUAUUACUUGAAUAUAAAAUUUUAACUUGGAACUCAUUGUUAUAAUAGAGAGCUAAACCACCACUUCUCCCAAUUGGAUCCACCGAAGCCAGAUUGUCAUAACCAAAGUGAAAUUGAAAUCCUUGUACUAAACCAAAAUCCUGUUUCGUUUCUGAUAAAAAUAAAAAAUCUGGUUUGUUUUUAUGCCAUAUUUCCCGGAGAUAACUCUUUGUCCAGUGACUUCCAAGACCUCUGCAAUUCCAACUUAAUAUUUUCAUAUAUAAAGAGACUGAUUUUGCCCUUUCGAGCGAGAGGACUGGAGUUUAAUGAUACUCAACAGUCUUAUAAUACCAGGUACCUGGAAACCAUAAAUCCCGUACUCAAACCCAUUAAGUGUAUCACUAGACCCAUCAGGAUCAUGAUCACACCACCGAAACCCAUCUUUCCAAAUUGCCGAUGACUCCUUGCCGUCAUUCCAUAAACCCAUCAAAACAAGAUACAUAUUAUAUAUAUUUAAACCAUUACAGUUCUCUCUUAAAAAUACCAAUAGUUCAUAUAAAUGUGCAAGAUUUAUCAAUCGCUUAGCGAACCAGCUAUUUUGAUAAAACAUACCAUUAGACCCGUAAGACCAUUUCAGUGCAUUUAAACUAGCAACUAAGCCUACCAUAAACAUCCCAUUAGUUAAUUCAAAUAAAACACAAAGGGUACACAAUACUAUAUAUAACCCUCUAACUUGACUUAAGGAUGAACCCCAUCUCCUCGAUCUCAAACAAAUUUGCACCAUGAUACCUAAAAUCAUAGUCGCCAAUGAUCCCAAAGCCUCCAUAGUUCCGUACCAAACCAAGGCCAAUACCAUAUAUAAGAGACUCGUUAUAAGCCGACUCCCACAACCAUAUCUCCAAUCCAAAGAGUCCACACUCACACCACAUAACAUACGUAACAAUACACAUACGCAUACAGCAAGAAAACACCACCACAAACUUAAAAUUCCAAUUUUAUUCCAUAUCUUAAUAAAAGCCACAAUAAUCAUCACAAUUUCCUCUUUCCCCACCGUCAUUAUCGAAACUAAUAUAAAUAGGUCUUGAUCCAUAAUCUUAAAACUUGAGGUUCGUUGACUUUGGGUUUGAAGGCCCCUUUCUUUCUAACGGUUUACCACCAUCACCCUGACGAAUUCCCACCUUAGCUACAGCACGUUUGCGUGGAGAGAGAAGCGAGCUUGCCAUCCUCAUCUUGUUGCUACCCGCUGUGCUGGGUUUGAGCAGCCUCCUGCGAUUACUCUGUCUCGUCGCCAUGUCAUCUGCUACCGUUGCGUUGUUGCCAUCACCACUCACCAGUUCCUCUUGCCCAUCAACCUCAGCCAGUUGCUCAGCUUCCUCCUCCGAGAGAGUCUGAAACUCAUCCUCUACCUCCACAUCCUCACCAUUCUCCAAUAUGGAAGCAUGAAUAGCCUCUAUUUCCAUAUCAAUGUCAGCUGCUAUGUCCUCCUGUUGCCCCAUCACUCCCUUGAGCUUGAUUAAACCCAUCUCCUUCUCAGUAGUGUCAAUUAUCGCCUCUGAUCCUUCCGCCUGCGUCUUAGCUAGUUCAAGUUGAAACUCGUCAGUCGCUGCAUCAUCACCAGUACCCUUGAUCUCCCCUUCUUCCCUAACUGCGGAAACUGGAGUCCUCUGACCAUGAGAAUCUCUUGGUUGAUGCGAAGAAGGUCUAGCACGUAUCUCUUAAUCACCAACUCCCCCACGUGUGCCUCCACUUCUCCCCUCAUCCCUCCGCGUGUUUCUGUAUCGAGAGCUCUCACCAUCUCCUCUAUAACUUCCAUAGUAGGUAGAAGGCUUCCUAGAUCCCUUCUCAGCUACCUUGACCCACUUAGAGUCCACCACAUCAACCGCCUUUCCCUUUCCUUUCCCAUAGUUUUCCCGGUUGUCUCUUUCUUUGUUCUGUUGACCCGGUUGCCCGUUGAUGACCACACCCUUAUAACUACGAGCUCGAUCCUCAUGUUUCGUACCAUCUGUCCACGCUCCAUUGCCUUCUCUAAGCUCCCUUCUUCUCUCUGGGCUCGACUUUAAAUUAUUGUCGUCUAAAGGACAUAGCUCCUCCUUGUGACAAAGACUAGCACAUAGCUUGCAGUGCCCGAAUAACUUUUCAUAGCGCAGAAAGACUGCCGCUUCCUCAUUAUCAUAGUACUCUCCUCCUUUGAAAUCCACCAUCGUCUCCAGACACAGCUCCUCUACUUGAACUCUGUUAUACUUCACAUCAACUGCAACUACUCUCAAUCCCCGCAGAUACCAAAACACCCAAACCUCGGUAAGGUAAAACAGCCCCAUCUCCAGAAGGUAUGAAGAGGAAAGAAAAGAAUCACGAUCUAAAUUACAACCUGUAAAGAUCCUGAGAUCAAUCUCUAUUGCGUCCAGACUCCACCGCCCUUGGACCCAGCCCAAUAAUAUUUUUCUAUUUUCUCUCCUAAAAAAGAAUAUUCUUGAUAUUUUCUUUUCUAAUUUCACAAAUAAUAUUUUUUAUUUGUGAAAGUUGAAAACCAGCCCAAUUUAUUUUAGUAUUUUAUAAAAUUAUGAUAUUAUUUACACUAAAUAUUUCUUUACAAACUAUUAUGUAAAUAAAAAAAUAUAAUUAUAUUUAUAUAUAUAAUAUAUUUCACCAAAAAAAUAUUUUAGGUUAUAAUUGUUUAAGCAAAAAGUUAAAGGAUCAUUUUGUAAAAACAAAUUGAGGAGGUGACAUGGUAAAAAUAUAGUUUCUCAUUGGCCGAUUAUUUUCGCCUACGUGGACACUCUAUCUGAGGCUUAUAUCCUCUUGUUUUAAUUAAAAUAUGUAAUAUUUAAAAGUUAUUACUUUAGAAAACUAUCAUUUAAUAUAUAAAUUUAAUCAAUUACGCAAUAAUUUACAUAAUUUAAUUGGCUACACAAUAUCCAAUAAGUAUAUAGUUACAUUGAAAUAUAAAAACAAUUUAUAUAGUGAAACAAAAAAUAUUUUUAAACCAUUAUAUUAUAAAGCAAAAGAAAUAUUCAAAUUAAUUAUAUUGAAACAUUAGAAUAGUAAGAAUCAGAAAAGCUGAAAUCUCAACGUCGAUCGUUCACGUCGGUCAUGCCUUAGACCAUCUCCAAUGUAUUCCUCUCUUUUUUCUAAAAUAGAAGAAUUUCAUAAUAGAGAUGGAUUUGUCUCCGAUGUAUUUUGCUAUUUUCUCACCUGAAAAAGAAUAUUCUUGAUAUAUUCUUUUCUAAGUUUACAAAUAAUACUUUUAUUUGUGAAAGUUGAAAACCAACCCAAUUUAUUUUAGUAUUUUAUAAAAUUAUGAUAUUAUUUACACUAAAUAUUUCUUUAGAAACUAUUAUGUAAAUAAAAAAUAUAAUUAUAUUUAUAUAAAUAAUAUAUUUCACUAAAAAAAUAUUUUUGGUUAUAAUUGUUUAAGUAAAAAGUUAAAAGAUCAUUUUGUAAAAACAAAUAGAUGAGGUGACAUGGCAAAAAUAUAGUUUCUCAUUGGCCGAUUAUUUUCGCCUACGUGGACACUUUAUCUAAGGCUUAUAUCCUCCUUUUAUUACUUGUUUGAUUUGUAUAUAAUUUAGUGUAUAGGUCCGGACCAAAUUUUUACGGAACCGAGAAACCAAACAACAAGACCAAAAUUGAAAAAAUUAUGUAAGUAAUCAAACGGAUCAUAUAUUUUAGAAAUAAAAAACUGGAAUCAAAGCAAAAACCGAAUGGUGGUGCAAAAGAAAGAAGCAAAAACCGAAUGGGUAUUAAGUUUUUAAAAUACAAAUUAUAUACCUACAAAUAUUAAUUAUAUUUUAAUUACUAAAUAACCAAAUAUCCUAAAAUAUAAUUUAUAAAUUGAACUACCCAAAAAUGAAUCACGAAAAUAUGUUUUUUUUUGUCAUCAUAAACAGACUCAUACUGACUCUGUGAACCACACCGGGAGAUUCUGAUCCUUGUGAACGACGAAAGACGAUUGUUUUCUGACACUGCGUGCUAGACUAUCCGCCUUUGAAUUUUGCGUCAUUGGUACAUAGAUGAUCUAUGAUCUAAUAAAACUUUCUCUCAGGGUCUUGAUAUCUUCCAAAUAAUUUGCAAAUGCUGGCCAUUCUUCUGGUUCCGAAACCAUCUUCACCAAUUGAGAACAAUCCGUUGCAAAUGUAACAUGAAAUUGACGUAAAUUUUUCAUACAUUCCAUUGCCCAUAAUAGAGCUUCCAUCUCCGCAUGCAGAGGAGUUAGACAAGCCCGUACAUUCUUCGCCCCCAACAAACCAGCAAAACCUUCUAAAGUACUAAGCCAACCUUGUCAUGAGAAAACAUCAUUCUCCUUCCAAGAGCCAUCUGUGAAGCACCAUCUUCCUAGAAUCAAAGGAAGGGUUGUAGGCUCGACCGGUAAGACUCUCCUGUUUUCCUUGGAUACAUGUGCCUUAGCCCAGAGUGUUGAUUCUGUUUCUGCCAAUUUGAGCGUAUCUUGAGGAUCCAUAUCCAAAUUACUAAAAACUUUACUAUUCCUUCCUUUCCAAAUAUACCAUAGUAUCCACGCGAAUUGAUCAUCCUCCAUCUACGGGAUGACUCGCCAAAAGAGAUGAUCCACAUUUGUGAAGAAGGAGCUUGUGGGGAAAAUGGUUGGGUUUGAAGGUACCUUGAAAAGAUCACAUACCUGAAUUGCUGGAGGACAUUCAAAAAACACAUGGUUGAUCGAUUCCUCUUCCGCUCCACAUCGUGCACAACAUAUAUCCUCUUGUAUUCCUCGCGCUUUCAGAUUCUUCUUUACUGCUAUACACCCUGUCACUAAUUGCCAUAGAAAAUGUUUCAUCUUUGGGGGACACCGUAUUUUCCAGCAGAACGCCUUCAAUGCAUCAACUGUAGGUCCAAACACUAAAGGUGGUCUUUCCCUGUCUGGGUANNNNNNNNNNNNNNNNNNUAAAGGUGGUCUUUCCCUAUCUGGGUAGACCCGUUCUAUCUGAUAUCCUGAUUUAACCGUAUACUUCCCAUUAUUUGUGAAAUGCCAGUCAUCCCUGUCUACCAUCUGGGUUCUACUCAAUGGUAUGCUUUCUAUGAUUUCAAAUCCUGAGGAUCCAUCAAAGUACGGAGUGCCUGGGAGUUCCAGGUUCGCGAAGUAGAAUCAAUAAAAGAAUCCACUGCAAGGUCUGGGUAUAAAUUGUGUUGAUUUUUAUUUGCUGGUCUCGGGCGAGUGGUUGGGAGCCAUGGGUCAUUCCAUACAGAUAUAGAUGAUCCUCAUCCCACCCGCUUAAUUAGUCAUUUGCUAACCAGAGAUCUAGCAGAAACAAUACUCCGUCAGCCAUAUGACGGAGAAUAUGACCGAAUCGGUUCCAGAGGUGAGGCAUUCNNNNNNNNNNNNNNNNNNNNNNNNNACCGAAUCGGUUCCAGAGGUGAGUCAUUCCUGUAAUACCGAAUCACGCAAAUAUGUUUUAUUUUGAAAGAUUUGAAAUUAUCCGAAUUAUCUGAUAUUUUUCUCGAACAACCUUAAUUAUCCGAUAUUUAAAUUGAAAAACCUGAAUUAUCCAAAAAAAAAUUCUUCUAUAAAUUUAAAAUUACCCCAAAAACAUAAUCGAAAACCAAAUUGGACCCUGCUUUUUGGAUAUUAGUCGGUUUCCAACUUUUUUCCCGAACCGUUCCAAAAUGUGAUAUAACUAAACUGAAACAUAACAAAAUUUUGUAAAUACCUGAACAAUUUCAAUAUUUCUAAAACCAAAACACCAAAAAUUGAAAUGCCCGAACCAAAACCGAAUGAUGAGGACUAAAAGUGCAUCUAAAUUUAAAUAGUGCGAAUCAAAAAUUCUACUUUUACAAAUUAUUUAACUCAUUUUAGUAGGGUAACAUAUGUGAUUUAUAUCUGGAUUAAGAUAUAAGCAGUGUUCUUAUAUCCGAUUUGGACCCGUGGUCGAACAGAUAACUCAGUGACCGUAUAUAAUUCAGUAUUCAUUUAAUAAAAAAUUCAUUAAUUAAAAGUACGAUAAAACCUAAAACCCUGUCAUUAACUUGUGAACCAACACUGAUUGAUCCUGUGAAAACCUAGAAAAUAUGAUAAUUAAAAAAAAAACCUUUUCAUACAUUUUUUAAUAGUUCAUAAAAUUGAAUAAACUAUUUGAUUUUUCUUAUAUGGUAAAUGCAUUGUAUUUAUGUUAUGCAUUUUAAUUAUAGAUUUUGUAAUGAUUUUUUAAGGUUACAUUUGUAAGUUUUGGAACAAAAGUUAUUAGUAAAUAGAAUAUAAUUUAGUUCACUAUAAAUAUUAAACAUAUUUCUACAUAAAUUAAUAAUUUGUUAUAUAUAUAUAUAUAUAUAUAUAUAAUAUUAUGAUUUUUUAUUAAUAUUUUUAUAUAUUUAAAUACAAGUACAAUUACAAUUUUAAAGUUGAUAAUUUAUUUUUAUUCGAAAGCGUACAAUGGGUUUAGGCCUAUUAAAAAUACUAGGUAAACACAUUCGCUACGCUGCGGGAAUUGUUUCCGUAUUUUUUAUUAAAAUAUUUUCAAUUUGAUAAUUGUUAUUUGUUUAAAUAUUAACAUUUGAAGAUUUAUUAUUUUGUACGUGUCCAAGAUCCAAUGAAAAAAUAUAAAUAAAGCAAAAAAUUCAUAGCUAUGUAUCGUGUCUCUUUGAAAAUCAACAACCUUUUUAAAAAAUGACAUGGAUGUGGGUUUUAAUCUUAAAGAGAUCACUGAGAUUAGAGCACUGAUUGUCGAGUUGCUCUUCCUACAGACAGUCUUUUCCAUCAAAGUUUUCCUUGCAUCUUUGUUGUGGAUUUUUUUAACAAUUAGAAAUUUCUAUAACUAAAAGCUUAUGAUACACUUGAGUCACUUAGCUUUAGGUUCAUACCUGAAAAAAAAAAAUUAUGAAGUAGGCUUCUUGGGUUUGUUAGGGUUUUUGUUCCUCUUAUUCUUAGUCUCUUCUUCUUCUGCAAGAGACAUAAUUAUGAUCUUGUUAUGUAAUGCAUUUUUGUGAUCAGUUAAAAGGGGAAAGUGUGAGUCAAUGAGUGACCUUGGUCAGAGCAUCUGCAUCAGUGAACUCCAUGGGGAGUUCACACAGUUUUCGAAAAAAAAAAUAUUAAAAUAAACAAAAGCAAUGAACCUGUCUCUUGGGAGUUCACUGCACUGAACCCGGAUCAUCACUGUAGCGCGGGCCCCACGACACGUGGCGGNNNNNNNNNNNNNNNNNNNNNNNNNNNNNNNNNNNNNNNNNNNNNNNNNNNNNNNNNNNNNNNNNNNNNNNNNNNNNNNNNNNNNNNNNNNNNNNNNNNNNNNNNNNNNNNNNNNNNNNNNNNNNNNNNNNNNNNNNNNNNNNNNNNNNNNNNNNNNNNNNNNNNNNNNNNNNNNNNNNNNNNNNNNNNNNNNNNNNNNNNNNNNNNNNNNNNNNNNNNNNNNNNNNNNNNNNNNNNNNNNNNNNNNNNNNNNNNNNNNNNNNNNNNNNNNNNNNNNNNNNNNNNNNNNNNNNNNNNNNNNNNNNNNNNNNNNNNNNNNNNNNNNNNNNNNNNNNNNNNNNNNNNNNNNNNNNNNNNNNNNNNNNNNNNNNNNNNNNNNNNNNNNNNNNNNNNNNNNNNNNNNNNNNNNNNNNNNNNNNNNNNNNNNNNNNNNNNNNNNNNNNNNNNNNNNNNNNNNNNNNNNNNNNNNNNNNNNNNNNNNNNNNNNNNNNNNNNNNNNCGGGAGCGACACAGCCAGGUCGCUCGCGAAGAAACGACCCGGGAGCGACCUCUCGCAGCGACGUGCCGAGGUCGCUCCGCGUCUAUUUGUUUGGCCAAAUUCAUUUUUUCUCAAGGGCCUUUUGGUCAUUUCAUUAUGCACGUUUUUACUUUUCAAAACGUAUGUUUUAAGCACCUUUGGUAGCCACCAGGCAAAGGGAGCUCUUUUCUGAAGAACAACUAGUAAAACUUCUUUUGAUUCAGAUUUCAUUGCUUUCAUCUUGUGUUCUUGUUGAUUUCUUAUCUAUUUCUCUACAUGAUUAAUCUGAAAUCCAAUAUGGGUUUAAGAGGAAUCAUGGAGAUUAGUGAGUAAUCACAUUUUGAAUUCAUGGGUUAGGGAGAUUAAAGGUGAUUAGGUUAGUUCUAGGAUGUUUUAGUGUAGAUCAUUCUUGUUCCUUACUAGUAGAGUAUUCAUAAUGCAUCUUCUGAGUUGGCCACUCAAAAGUUGAUCAAUAAGCAUUUUCCACCCAAAAGGUGUUUGAUGAAAUGCUUGAGACAAUUCUCCUAGGCUUUUAGUAUACUUUGCCAAUGACAUUUGUUGUUAAAGGUGCUAAGAUAGCUUAUAGACUUGUUAGUAAUGAUUGCUUUCACAUUAUUCAACCAAAGACAUUUGAUGUUUGAGAUAUGUUAGCAAAUGAGCAUUCAUCUAGACAUAGAGCUUGCUUAGAAUUGUGUCUAGUCUUAAGGUCGAUAGUUUGAUUGAUCAUUUGCCAUCCUUAGUUCGAUACUUGAUCACCCAAGGUCUAAUCUCUAUGCCUAUGAGUUCUCUUUUCCCUUAGUCAAGAAAGUAUCAUUCUGUAAUUACUUUCUAGUAUUCGUAGUAGUAGUAGUUUAAAACUCAUCUAAAUCAUUGGUUGCACUUAGAUUAAGUGAGUACUUGCAUUCUCGGUGCUUUGAUAUCCCUCAGAACUGGUUCGACAUUCACUCAUACUACAACAUUUGUCUUAGGAGCCUGAAAACUCCUAACAUCAAAUUGGCGCCGUUGCCAAAUUCUGAGUAGAUUUCAACAUUGAGAUUUAGUCACUUGCUUGAGACUAAGUCAUUUUUAAUUUCUUUUGUGACUGAUUCUCCUUCUUCACCUCCCUUUAACUUUCAGGUGUAUGAACUUGAGGAGCAGGGGUCCAUCAAACCUAGUUCCAAGAGUUGCAGAUAUCAGAGGUUUAGAGAGAGAGUGUGCUAGAGCGAGAAGAGAAGAAGAGCAACAGGCUCACUUGCAGAGAUUGGAUAUUGAUAUGGCAGAUCAACCGCAAGGGCCAGAACACCCACAGCGAGCAGGUCGAUCCAUUGGUACCUAUGAUCGUCCAAACAUCAAUGGUCAGAGGUUGGGUAUCCGCGCUCCACCAGUGGAAGCCAACAACUUUGAGGUCAAUCCAGGACUCCUCAACGUGAUCGAGAACAACAAGUAUCAUGGUUUGCCUGUAGAGGACCCUUUUGAUCACUUGGACAAGUUUGACAGCUACUGCGGAUUGUCAAAAACCAAUGGAGUGUCCGAAGACGCCUUCAAGCUCAAGCUAUUCCCUUUCUCUUUGGGGGAUAAGGCACGCUAGUGGGAGAAGACUGUACCCAGUGAAUCCAUCACUACUUGGGAUGAGUGUAAGAGAGCAUUCUUGGAGAAAUUCUUCUCAUCCUCAAGACCUGCUAAGCUGAGAAAUGAGAUCUCCAGUUUCCAACAGAAGAACUUGGAAGGAUUCAGUGAAGCCUGGGAGAGAUUCAAAGGCUAUCAAACCAAAUGCCCACAUCAUGGUUUCUCUAAGGAGAGCUUGCUCAGUACCUUCUACAGAGGUUCCCUUCCUAAGUACAGAGCCAGAUUGGAUACAACUAGCAAUGGGUUCUUCUUUGGAAUAAUUGAAGAUGAUGUAGAAGAGCUGGUUGACAACAUGGUGAAGAGUGAUGCAGUCUACAGUGCAGACCACGACAUAGGCAGUAGGGGUGAUGAUAAGCAGACGAGGAAAGAGAUCAAAGCUUUGGAAGACAAGGUCGACCUACUCAUUGCUGAAAAAGCCACCCAAGAGCAGCUGAAGUUUGUUGGUAACUCCAAGCAGGAAGAUCCACCUGUUGUCCAUGAGGUUGAGGGUUUGGAAGGUCAGGAAGAGCUGUGUUUCGUCAACAACAAUGGUAGCUGGUUCAAAAAAGAGCCCAAUUUUCAGUACAACAACUACCAACAGAAAUCCUAUCCCAACAACCAACAGAGUGGUUAUCCGCCUAGAAACAACCAGCAAGGCAGCUAUCAGCCUCAGUAAAACCCCUCGUCUGGUUCCUCUGCUCCUCAAGAGAGCAGCACUGAUACCUUACUGAAACAAAUCUUGGAGUCUCAGACUAGAAGUGAGAAGCAUGUUGGUUAUGAGUUGAAGAACCUUCAUUCCAAGAUUGAUGGGAGCUACAAUGAGCUCAACAACAAAUUUUCACAUCUUGCUUCUAUAUUCAAGAAUUUAGAGAAUCAGUUUGCUUCCAUGAACACUCACCAGAAUCGCCAGCAAGGAUCUUUACCUGGAAAAUCUGACCAAAACCCCAAGGAGGCCAAAGCUAUCACCUUUAGGAGUGGUAAGCAGUUACCUCCUACAACCCUCACCAGGGAUGCUGAGAAACUAGGUGAGGAGGUGGCCAUCAACUUAGAUGAUGAAGUGGUGAUUGUUGAUGAGAAAAUCAAUGAUGAAAUCUUGGAGAAGAUUGUGGAAGCCAAAGGUAAAGGAAAGGUUGGGGAAGAGAAGAAAACAGUGAAAGAUGGUGAAGUUGUUGCUCCAGCAAGUGAGAAUUCUUUUGUUCCUCCUCCCUAUGAACCCAAACUUCCAUUCCCUGGUAGAUUCAAGAGGCAGCUGCUAGAGAAGUACAAAGCUCUGUUUGAGAAGCAAAUGAGUGAAGCUCAGGUUGCAAUGCCCAUCAUCGAUGCUUUCAUGUUGAUUCCUCAAUACAACAGGUUCCUGAAAGAUGUUGUAGCUGCAAAGAAGAAGGAGAUGGAAGGCAUGAUGAUUCUUACCCAUGAGUGCAGUGCCAUCAUCCAGAGGCUUGAUGUUCCAGAGAAGUUAGAGGAUCCAGGAUGCUUCACACUACCUUGUGCUCUUGGACCUAUGGUAUUUGAGAAAUGUCUCUGCGAUUUGGGAGCUAGUGUCAGCUUGAUGCCUUUGUCUGUUGCAAAGAAGCUUGGAUUCACUCAGUACAAGAAGUGUAGACUCUCUCUGGUGUUAGCUGAUCGUUCGGUGAAGUACCCUGUGGGCAUCUUAGAGGACCUCCCUGUGAAGAUUGGAAGGUAUGAGAUACCUACAGAUUUUGUGGUGCUUGAGAUGGGUGAGGAGCCUCAAGACCCAUUGAUUCUAGGAAGGCCAUUCUUAGCUACAGCAGGAGCUAUUGUUAAUGUGAAGGAAGGCACGAUUGAUCUCCAUUUGAGUAAAGAGAACAUCCUCCACUUUGACAUCAAGGGGAAAAUGAGAAAACCAACUGUGUUCGGGCAAGCCUUCUACAUUGAAGAGAUGGGCACUCCUGCUGAUGAGCACCUUGAAGAGUUACCACCUGAGGACGACGAGGAGGGAGCAUCUCCCUCUACUCAUUCCCCAUAGAAGGUAACCCACUACUUUCCCUUGUAUAUACCAUUUCGUUUUUGCAUAUUAGUUUUCUCUUUUUGGGUAUCUCUCUCUCCUUGACAACACAGAGACUGUGUCAUUUAAGUUUGGGGGAGGUACCAAGUAUUUGAUCAUGUUUGCUUUGAUGUUGUUUCAUUGAGUCAUGCAUUGCAUACCUAUUUGCAUAAAAAAAAAAAAAAAAAUCAUUUAGUUUGCAUCAUUUGCAUUUCUGGGAGAGUCUAGAGCAUAUAGGUUGCAUUUACUUGCAUUGGGAGCAAUGAUUUGAAAUGCCUUGUAAAGAACAUUACUUUGCACCUGAGUAGCUUAUGCACCUCUCAAAAAGACUUGUAUGCUUCGAGCUUUGAAAACUCUUCCUGAAACUUGUUGAUUGCUGAAACUCAACCUUUGAAGCCAACUACAACUUUGUUUGAACUGAGCGAACUUAAUGCUUCUUGCUUAUGGUCCCUUGUGUACUGAGUCAUGGAUAUACACACUUGAGUUGUCACAUCCUUUAUGCCAAUCUUUUUGACAAACUCGAGUGGUACACCAUUCCCAAAACCUUUCCCUCCUUUUGAGCUUUCAUUAUUUGAUGAGUGAGGCCUUUUUCGGAAAGCCUUACAUGUGCAUAAUGUUGAGAGUAUUGGGAACGAUAAUGCUUGGUUUUCAUUCUUGCUAGAUUAGGCACUCUAUUGUCUAGCUAUAGGUGGGGGUGAGUGUUGUGACUAUGGUUUGGAAGCAUGAAAAGUUUGAAGGAAAAGAAUUGACUCUUUGUGUUUAAAUGGAUAAUCUUAUUGGAAUUAAUAGAUAAACGUCUAGCUCGAGUUUAUGAAAAGUCUUGGCCCCCGAAAAAAAAAGAAUAUAAAAGAGAAAAAGAAAAAAAAAAUAUAUAAAAAAAAAAAGAGAAAAAGAAAGAAAAGGGGGCUAGCAAAGUUGUUUAGAGCUAAGAUUUGUUUAGAAGUUGAGAAAAUCCUUUAUAGAUUUCAAAGAAAAAGAGUUUUAUGUGCAAAGUAUUCUUGGGAUCUUUUGGUGAGAGAUGGGAGUUGGGUUUGACAUUGGAAAGUGAUUGUGUAACUUGUAUGUUUGGGAAAAGGGUAGAACAAUGGAGAUUGAGCAUUGUAUGCAUAAGUUGGUCUCUUUCUUAGAUAUAUUAUGUGCAAUGUCAAGGCUACUUGUUUUGAGAGUAAACCACUUUAAAAGAUCAUGGAUUUUGAACCUCUUGACCCACUUGAAUAAAAGUCUUUCCUUACUCAACCAAAUGAUUUGGACCAAUUGACCAUUUGCAAGAAUUCACUUAAUAUUUUAUGCUUAAUGAAUGUGAGAGUUGGUUGAUUUGAAUGUGUGGAUGCUUGAUGAUGAGUAUAAGGGCAAAAGGAGUUGAGAUAGGCCUAGAGAAGCUAGAGUGUAAUAAGAGAGUGUGCUCAUGUUGGAUUAGAUGUUGAAUUGAGUGCUAGUUGUAUUUCUUUUGGCUAUGAGCUCCCACCUUCAAACCUCUCUCCCUAUGAGUUCUAGAAAGUUCACUUGUGGACAAGUAAAAGAACAAGUUUGGGGGAGUUGAUGUCUUGCAUAUUUUCAUUGUUUUAUCCAUUCAUCCAUUAGCAUUUUCAUCAUAUAGAUUAGUAUUUAGCCAUGUCUAGGUUGCAUUUUGCAUUCAUUGUCCUUAUUAGGUGUUAGAGUGUGCCAUGGAGUGAUUUGAGAUGUUUGGGAGCAUUGUGAUCCAAAAUGGGGUGAAAGAUGAGCAUGUAUGGAGCCUUUAGAGAAAUCUUCUGUUGCUAAUAUUUUGUGCAGACACAUAAAAUUGAGUUAGCUUUCUAAUGGAAGUGGUUUCAAGUCAUUUGAAGAUGUAAUGAAGGAGUUACGACCAAUUUACUAGAAGCAUAUCCACCAUGUUCAAGCAUCCUGGAGCGACCUCUCAGAGCGACCUACCAAGGUCGCUCCCAGCCAGAGCGACCAGCCCAGAGCGACUAUCUCAAGUCACUCCAUCCAGAGCGACCAGCUCAAGUCGCUCGCAUUUUGACGGGGCAAGACACGAAGAAACGCGUCGGGAGCGACCUCCUGGAGCGGCUAUGCUAGGUCGCUCCGCGUGUUUUGCUUGGACGAUUUUUAUGUUAUUUCAGGGGCCUUUUGGUCAUUUGCUUUGUUGUUUUACAUUGCAUAAACCUAAGUUAAGUACUUUUGUAAGCGAUGGGAGGCAGGGGAUCUCUUUUCUAGAGAACACUAGUAAAACUUCUUUUGAUUCAGAUUUCAUUGCUUUCAUCUAGUGUUCUUGUUGAUUUCUUAUCUAUUUCUCUACAUGAUUAAUCUGAAAUCCAAUAUGGGUUUAAUAGGAAUCAUGGAGAUUAGUGAGUAAUCACCUUUUGAAUUCAUGGGUUAUGGAGAUUAAGGGUGAUUAGGUUAGUUCUAGGAUGUUUUAGUGUAGAUCAUUCUUGUUCCUUGCUAGUAGAGUAUUCAUAAUGCAUCUUCUGAGUUGGUCACUCAAAAGUUGAUCGAUAUGCAUUUCCCACCCAAAAGGUGUUUGAUGAAAUGUCUGAGACAACUCUCCUAGGCUUUUAGUAUACUUUGCCAAAGACAUUUGUUGUUAAAGGUGCUAAAAUAGCUAAUAGACUUGUUAGUAAUGAUUGCUUUCAUAUUAUUCAACUAAAAACAUUUGAUGUUUGAGAUAUGUUAGCAAAUGAGCAUUUAUCUAGACAUAGAGCUUGCUUAGAAUUGUGUCUAGGCUUAAGGUCGAUAGUUUGAUUGAUCAUUUGCCAUCCUUAGUUUGAAACUUGAUCACCCAAGGUCUAAUCCCUAUGCCCAUGAGUUCUCUUUUUCCUUAGUCAAGAAAGUAUCAUUCUGUAAUUGCUUUCUAGUAUUAGUAGUAGUUUAAAACUCAUCUAAAUCAUUGGUUGCACUUAGAUUAAGUGAGUACUUGCAUUCUCGGUGCUUUGAUAUCCCUCAGAACUGGUUCGAUAAUAUUUUAUACUACAUCAUUUGUCUUAGGAGCUUUGAAAACUCCUAACAUCAAUGUCUUGUUUAGCUUCCUGCACAAGCUGGAGAUACUAAUCAAGUAAACCCAUUGUAAUUUUCAGCUUAUGCUCAUCGUCCAGAAGCUUCAUGGCCUUUCUCUCUCUCUCUCUCAUGUUUUUCCUUAGUAAUGACCUGGAAGUAAGUUUCCUUCUCAAGAUGUUACUUCUCCUCGUAAGGCUUCUUAUCUUCUGCACUAAGACUUCAUCUUAUAAUGUUCUUCAAAAUAACAAAUAUAUAAACAAAUUUGGAGUAUAUAGAUUUUUACAUAAUAGUGUAUAUUUAUAUAUUAGAUAAAUAAGUUUCAUUGUAUUUAGCCAACAUUCUAUUUUAUAUUUAUAAUUGUUGUCAAUAAAGAAAGAUAAAUUUAUUAAGCAUUUGAAAUUCCUUUGCGAUCAUAUUAUAUCUUUUAUUUCCAUUUGAAACCUUUAUUUAUGCGCUUAAAGCCUAAAAGAAAGGCAUAGCACUAUCAGAUUGGCUGGAAACUCUUUUGGAAUAAAAUUUUCUUUCCAUGAUCUAGUUCGUUUAAGAAACCUCAUAUUUAUCGAUAAAAUCAUAUUUAAGAGAUCUCGACAUUAAUGUUGUUUUAAAAAAUAUCAUAUAUAAUCCUCAGAUAUGAGUUGGAUAUCACGUAACCGAAGAAAGUCAUUGAUGUGAUCUUAAGAACCAUCAUAGUUCUUUAGAGAUUUAUUUGAUUCUUGAUAUCCCAUUACUUUUAUGAUAUUUAGACUUCUAAAGCUUAUUCAGAUCAUUUUAGGUUGUAUUUAGGUGUUAAUAUUACAUUUGCAAAAAUCAAGGGCUAGAUUGUAUUUUUGGAAGUUUAAGGUUAAUUCAAGAGGUCAUUUCUGGUAAUUCAAACAUUUGUGUCCAAUUAGAAAACAAAGAAAAGAUGAGGGACCAUCGUGCAAUAAACAUAAACAGAUAUUUGGAAGACUGAAAAAUGCAAAUAUGAAGAAACCAGCCAUUGUCGUUGAUUGAUUCUUCUCUGGAAUCUGGGCUUGACGACGAUGACGAACCUGUUCCGGUGUAAUGAAGACCUCGGCUUGGAGCUGAGAACACGACCCAGAGAUGGAGAAUACGAUGUUGACGAGCCGUGAUGAAGAGCUUGGCUACGAUGAAGUGGAUUCACGGCGAGGAUGAGAAGAAGACAAAGGCGGAUCAAACCUUGUGCUUCUGGUCGGAGAAGAACAUUCGCAAGAUAACGUGGCGGCUAGGAGCCACUGCCAUGACUGCAGAUCUCAAAGAAGCACAAACAGAUCAAAGAGAAGUCGGAACGAAGAAAUUAGGUCACUGUUAGCUGUAACGGUUGAACCAUGGAUAAUAGAAUUAAGAGAUGUGUCUGAGAAGAAGAUGACGCUUUGGCGUCUGUGAUUGUCAAACAGAUUUAUGUAUGACAAAAGAAAGAAACAUGUGGAUUAUAAUUUCAUGACGUGUAUGAAUAAAUUAAACGGAAGGAAAGACCUUUGGCGGAUGAUGCUUUGAUUUCUUAACUUAUAGAUAUCUUACUUAAAAAAUUAUGUGUAACAUAGCUAUGAAUUUUCCCAAUAAUAAAAUUCAAAAUAAAACACUAUUUAACUAAUUAUGCCAUUUAUAAAUGCAAUAUAUAACCAAAAUAAUUAUGAUAUAAAAUACUCCCUUCGUUUCAAUAUAAAUGAUGUUUUAGAAGGUUUGUUUUGUUUCAAUUUACAUGAAGUUUUGAGAUUUUAAGAAAGUUUUGAGAUUUUAAGGUUAACUUUAAUUUUAUUGGAAACUGUUCAACCAAUUAGAUUUUACAGUCUUUUUUAUAAUUGAUUAACUGAUUUUAAAAUUAUAUUUUUGAAAUAUUUUUAUAGGAAAAUGUAAUUUUUUUAAUCUUUGUGUACUAUUACAAAACAUCAAGAGUAUUAUGAAAGGAAUGAAUGGAGUAAUAAAUAUCUGAAUAUAUUUUGACAAAGAUAAUUUAUUUAUGUUUCCAUCUUUAGUUACACUAGUAUUAAGAUGUUAUAAAAGUUUUGUUUUGGUUUUCCUAAAUGGUUGACAAAGUAGAAAGUUUAUAAAAAGGUAACGUGGAAACUCCCUUCCCCUCCCUCUCAUCCCCUAGUCUCCACGCGAACCACCGUGAUGGGUGUGGAUUACUACAAUAUACUGAAAGUGAAUCACAGCGCGAGGGAUGAUGAUCUGAAGAAAGCUUACAAGCGUCUGGCCAUGAUCUGGCAUCCCGAUAAGAACCCUUCCGCGCGGAGGGACGAAGCCGAGGCCAAAUUCAAACGGAUCUCUGAGGCCUACGACGUUCUCUCCGACCCUCAGAAGCGCCAGAUCUACGAUCUCUACGGCGAGGAAGGCCUCAAAUCUGGGAAAAUCCCCAAUUCUUCGUACGAGGCUUCUUCCUCUUCGUCGAGACCGCCGCACUUUUACCACCAGCAUCCGCCUAACGCGGCGUCGUUCCGUUUCAACCCUAGAGACGCGGAGGAUAUCUACGCCGAGAUCUUUGGAUCUGAAGCUGGAGGAGCAAGUGCUGGACAUAGGACGUUUAGGGAUGCGAGUUUCAGGAACGCUGGUGGUGCGAAUGGUGAGCUUAGGAAGGCUCCAGCCGUUGAGAAUCCAUUGCCUUGUAGUUUGGAGGAUCUUUGCAAAGGUGUCAAGAAGAAGAUGAGGUUAUCUAGAAAUGUUUUCGAUGCUUCUGGGUAUGUGUCCUUCUUCUUGGACUAGUUGGGUAGUAAAUGAUUCUUCUUCUUGGUCCAAACUUGAACUUGUUGGAAUCAAGCGGUCAAUUUCAUGACAAUGUGUAGCUUUCUAACACUGCUAAAACUGAACUCUUUUGAUGUUACAAGGCAAUGAUUUGUGUGGAUGUUUAGGCAAAGGUUAACGUGUCCUCUUAAUACAUUUUACCUAUCAAGUGCUUUUUAGUUUCUUUCCACAGAUCCGGUUUUUGCAGUUUACAGCUGCACGAACUUGAUUUUAUGUAUAAUGAUAAUAGAUGAUAGCUUGCACGUAUCUGUAUGUAUUUUUUGGGCUCAUCUUGCUUCAUAUGAUUGUUGGGGUUUUCCUAUAAUAGCUCAAGAAUGUAGCGAAAGUUGUCGUAUUACCUCCUUGUGUCUCUGCAUACACAGAGAUGAAUUUUUAUCUUGUUUUAUCUCAGUACUGUUAUGAUUCGUGUUGUUUGGUUGUUGCAGUAAAAUGAGGGUCGUUGAGGAGAUAUUGCCCAUAGAAAUAAAACCCGGGUGGAAGAAAGGCACAAAGCUCACUUUCCCUAAGAAAGGCAAUGAAGAGCCUGGAAUCAUACCAGCAGACAUCAUCUUCGUGGUUGAAGAGAAGCCACAUCCUCUUUACAAGAGAGACGGAAACGACCUUUUGGUCAACCAGGAGAUCACUCUGCUUGAAGCACUAACCGGUAAGACCCUCGACCUGACCACGCUUGAUGGUAGGAGUCUCAUGAUCCCACUAACGGAUAUCAUCAACCCCGAGCACGAGAUUGUUGUUCCAAACGAAGGAAUGCCCAUCUCUAAAGAGCCUGGUAAAAAAGGUAACCUGAGGUUGAAGCUUAACGUGAGUUAUCCGUCUAAGCUGACAGCGGAACAGAAGUCCGAGCUGAAGAGAGUUCUUGAUGGGGUUUCAUGAACAAGUCAGAUGAUGAUGAAUGUAGAUAGCAAAAGUAGAGGAGAUGAUGUAGAUUGUGAAUGGUAGGAAGGAGCUUGGAUUUGAAAGCCGAAGAACAAACAAACACACGCUUUGCUUCUGUCUUUUCUGUUUCUCUUGUCUGAAAUUAGACUCUUCUGGUUUCCUUUUUUGUUAAUUUUAUUUAUUUGAUUUGGUUUUGAGGGCCUUUAUCAUAUGUGAUUUAUGUGACUCCAAACAUUGAGGUAUGCUUUGUUACCUAUUUAUCUUAUUAAUAAGAAUCAUUUGUGCCUCCACUAUCAUUUGUAUCUUCAUAACUAGGUCAGGUAAGCAUGGAUUAGAGAGAUCUAAGUUCGAGUCUGAAGCCAAAAUCAACAAGAACCAACCUAAAACCGAAAGUCAAGGACUCAUUCAAACAGUAGGAAGUGAUGUGAGUUAAGUCACUUGGUCAACAGUACAGACUAGGCCCUAACAAAAGAACCAUACACUUUUCUAGCUUACUAAGACCAUACUUACAUGCACAAGCCAAGAUGGCCACAAACCCCUCAUUCGAACCAACUUGGGCAACUGAAAUUCAGGAAAUGGAAUAGAACAACAAGUAUAUUUAUUCAGGGGAACUGCGAAAAAAAAAAUAGUAGUAAAACUCAAUGUAAACUUUUUUUGUGACCAAUAUAUCGGCUUCACUCUUCUUACAAACACUUGUAGAUGCAACGUUAUAGGAUUCCAAAAGUGGUACUUCAAGGAGCAAAAAAACUAUUGAUGAAAAUGUUUUUAAGCAGUCUUGGAGACAGGGAAGAGCUUUUCCACCAUGUUGUUUGAGAGAAUUCUGUUUGGGUCCAGCUCCCUUCGUGCUUUGUUGUAUGCAUCCACCGGGAAUCGUUUUCUGAGUCUUUCUUGUAGGGCUUCAAGUUCCUCUUUAUCCUUUGGUAUCUGCUUACAUAAAACAUUUUAAACACUCAAAAUUAGAACAAUUGCACUACACAUUUCAUUUGCUUACUUUUCACGACAACAAUUGCAUUACAAGCAGAAAAGGUAGUAGGAUACAGAGAGUUUCUGUCUAAGUCUAACUAAACUAUGAAAUUCUAUAAAGGUGAGUGAAUCAGAAGGAUCAUCUACAAUUACCUCAAUUUUAGCCCAAUGUUCAUACGCAGAAUACUGGUCCCACAAUUUUGCCUGUGUCAAAUGUCUAUAGUGGAAAAAUUCAUCCGUGAUGUCCUUUCUCUGGCGAGGGUCUGCUGUCGGGAGAUACAUGAUUAUACCAACCUGACACAAAAAUGUAAUGUAGCAUAUUAUAAAUGUAUAUAGCUAGCAAUGGAAAGAGAGAGAACGAAAACAGCAAAAAAAGUCAAUGCUGGAACAAGAUUGGUCAAUAGCAAGAAUCUACCAAGUUAAACAAAAUCUAUCUCUCUAUGUAGCAUCAAUAUUCCAAAAAUUCUCAUUUAUACUUGUUUUCACGAAAGUUAAAAGAGGGAAAACAGGAAUUACCCAUGAGAAAAUGUCCUCCUCUGCAGUGCUGAAUGCAGGACUCAUAGGGCUCUUACUUCGGCCUGUCCAACGCUGCUCUAUGGGAGAAGGUGCUGGUAUUGCUUCUUUUUGUAUCAACUCUUUCAGCUGUUCUAUGUACUCAAGGUCUUUCAUGCUAGGUUUAGCGAGAGUUCCAGCAGGAAAACAAGUUUCUGAUACCCACUGUUGACCACCACAGUCAAAGCCCAGGAUUUCAUCACUCCACCCUACUCUGUAUCCUUCUGAUUUUUUCCAAAACUCAGCCUCAGCUUGAUUCACUUUUCCAACGUGAACGUCAUUGAGAGGAUCUAGGGCAAUCAGCUUAUCUCUCAACUCUGUAAAUGAAAGCUCGUUAAUGUCUGGCUCCCUACUGUCAGGAGUCUUCUUACUAGAGUCCUGGACCCUAAUACAUCAUGGUGGAAAAAAUAAUGAUCAUUUAAUCCUCCACACUAGAGAAAGCAAUUUAAGACAUAAUAACAACUAAAGCAUAACGAUACCUAUACUUAACAAUGCUCUCUCUAUACAGGUCACGGACAUGCUUUAAAGCCUCCUCUGUAGUGUACUUUGGUUUGUCCUUAGGUGCCCCACUCCAUUUUGAUACAGGGUUGCAUGUAACAACCACGACCGUGUCAGUAUAUGGAAUAUACAGGUACUUGACAUGCUUAUUUGUAGAGAGCAACUUUCUAAACAGCCAGAAACAGAAACAAAAACAAAAGUCAGGAAAACUUCCACUCUUAUGAGAUCAAUGAGGUUCAUAUUAGAGGUCGUUCUUUGCCAAAUGAUAGAAAUGCACUAUGCUGGGGGGGGGGGGCAGUAAGUCAGUAACUAGAACAUGAACAAAAACUUAAAGAACUUGCAUCAACCAUUAUUCAAGGGUAGAGAGAUAUACUAUUAAGACUAGGAUAAGGAAAGUCAGCAACACUUAACUUGUGAUUUUUCUUGAUCUCUUCCAAGGUGGAGACGUAAGUGUGCUCCAAAAGCUCCUGUCUUUCAACGCACUGGAGGGUGACCUCAGCAACAACUCCAAGUCCACCAAGGCCACAUCGAGCAAGAUGAAAGAGCUCCGGAUCAUUAUCCUUAGAAAGCUCAAUAGUUCCCUUAGCAGGAGUGACAAGCUUCAUGCCAAUCACUUGCUCAUCGAUAGGAGGCAAUCUAGCACCUGUCCCAUGUGCCCCAACCUGAACAAAAAACCAUAAAAGCCUAAACCUUAAAGAAAACAAGGAAGUUGCAGAAGAACCUGAAUGAUGCCACCAAUCUGCUGCUCUCUAAUGGAAGCAAAGUUCUGGAGAGUGAGACCAUACUCUUGAAUGGAGUCAACAAGCUGAUGAACCAUAAUCCCAGACUGCACACGGACUCUCUUCUUCUCUUUAUCCACCUCGAGGACCUUGUCCAUGAGCGCCAAAUUCACCAUCCCCGAGCGAGACAAACCGAUCCCAUUGGGGGAAAGACCGGAUCCAACGGGUCGGAUCCUGUUCUUCUUCUCAUGAGCUUCCUUGACGAGAGCUUCGAGAUCGGCGAGAGUCUCCGGCUGGUUAAAGUUCCUGGUCUGGACCUCGUGAGUACCACUCCAGUUAGAGACGGUGUGGAGAUCUUCGGGGAGAGGAGCGUAUCGGAAGAUCUGAGCCUUCUUGUGUUUGGCGUUCUCGGGGAAGGGGAAGGAGAAGUAAGUUGCGGCGCCGGAGAAGAGAGCGAGUGCUGCGUAUCCGGCGUAUUUACGGAACUCCUUUUCUGAGGCGGAGGAUGAAAUCGGCGGUGGAGGAGGAGGCGGCGGUGGAGGGGCUGGAGUCAAGGUCUGACCGGAAGUGCAUAGAGUGCGGAGAGGGGGAAAUGGGGGUCGAAGCGAACGGGCGUUGGAGCGGCGGAGGAGAAGUGAUCGGAGCAUUUUGUUUUAGUUCAGGCGAUCUGAAACCUGAGCCAGCGAAAGGUUUCUUUCUGUACAAAGGAUCGGGUUUAGGAGAUUUACGAAUAUUUCUAAAAUGUCCACAGGUUUUAACUAUUUUCUUAAUUUAAGCCGUUGUAAUAUCUUUAUAAAAAAUUACCCCCACAGGUAGGCCUGGGAAUUUAAAUCAAAGCCCGCGGGGCCCGCCCCAUUUGACCCGCCGCUGGGAGGGUGCGGGUCGAGCGUUUUGAAAAAAUCAAGUCGCGGGGGCGGGUGCGGGUUAAGACUAUUUUUUGCGGAGCGGGUGCGGGUUGGUGGAUUUUGAUUUGCGGAUAUCCGCCAACCCGCAAAAUAAAAUAAAAAAUAAAAAAAUCUUUUUUUUUUUGAAAAAUUCGAUUUUUUUAGAAAAAUAAUUUAUUUUAAACAAAAAUAAUUAAAUUUAUUAAAAAUAAUAUAAAAAAUUACUUAUAAAUAUAUUAUUUUAUAGAAAAACUAAUUAAAUUAUUAUUUUUUUAAUUAAAAAUAUAAUCCGCGGGUCCCGCGGGUUACCCGCAAAAUAAAGUGGGGCGGGUGCGGGUAUUAGUUUAUUUCUUUGCGGGGUGAGCGGGUCAAAAUUUUGACUAAAAAAAAAGAAACGAUCCGCGGGUUGGCGGGUCGUGCGGGGCGGGUUGACCCGCGAACCCAGGCCUAUUUUCCCACCAAAACCGUAAAAACAAGUUUUUCCGCCAAAACCGCAAAAACGAGUUUUUCCGCCAAAACCAAAAAGAUUAUUUUUCCCGCAAACCGCAAAAAUCUAGUUUUCCAACCAAAACCACAAAAAAAAAAUUUCCGACCAAAAACUGCAAAAAGAAAAUUUUCCGCUAAAGCCACAAAAACAAUUUAACAAGUUUUCUCGUUAAAACCAUAAAUGAGUUUUCCUGUCAAAACGAUGUUUACUGCUUAAACCACAAAAUGAGUUCCGGUUAAAAUUGCAAAAUAAUUUUUUUUUUCGAAAAAACGAGUUUUUUCUCCAAAAUCAUAAACGAGUUUUUGCGCUAAAACAAGUUUUCUAUAAAAUUGCAAAAUCUUGUUUUUAUAUUAAAGCUCACAUUAAUGAUAUUAAUAUUUUACAUGAUCUUCAGAGUAAAUAAGAUAAUACUUUGGAUACCCACGGGUAAACCUAUACCAUAUUGGGUUUUUUUUUUGUUUGGAUUUCAAUAUUGAUGUUUCUGGGUUUUUGCGGGUUGGAUAUAAACUGGGUUGGGUUAUUUGUGGGUUGGGGUGGGCUGGGUUAUUUUACCCAAAGUUAACAUCCCUACAUUCAACCACAUAACUAAAACUAGAGAGAGAGAGAGAUAAAUACAGAAACCAAAGGUUGCAAAAACCACGUUAAUCUAAGACAAGUUGACGCCGCUUAUAACGCACCAUCACAUUGCCUUUAAUGCCAACCACCAUAGCGUUCCAGUCCAUCUCAGGGAAGGGUGAAACCAACUCAAGCUCAAAGUUCCUCAACAAAUGACUCCAUAUGGCUUUGAUUUGAAGGUAAGCAAAGGGCUCUCCAAGACACCCGUGCCUACCUCCACCGAAUGAAAUGUACGAAAAUGCCCCUGCGGCUUUGUCCUCUUCUCUUCCCGGGGAGAAUCUAUCCGGGUCGUAGCUGUCCGGGUUCUUGAAGACAUGCGGCAAGCGGUUUGCAAAAGCAGGCGAGGUUGCAACGAUAUGACCCUUUGGGAUGUCAUACGUUUUCCCAUCCCUGGUUGUUACGUUGAAAUCACUGUGGGAGGCUCUCAUUAGCAUGAUCAACGGAGGGUGAAGCCUCAACGCUUCCUUAAUGCAACGGUAGAGAACAUUCAUCUCCGAGGAUAUGAUGUCGUGAUCAAUCUUGUCUCCAUGUUUCUCAAUCAGCUUCUUCUGCUCAUCCAAGGCAGCGGACGAGUACUCUUUGUAUUUCAUCAGAUAAGCACCGGUCCACGUGGAAGUGAUAGAGCUCGUCUGCUGUCCUGCAAAGAGAGCAGCGAUGAGCAAACCCGCUACCUCGGAUUCGGUUGUCUGUCUACCGUCUCUGUACUUUGACUCGAUGAAACACUGCAACAUGUCGUUCUCUGUUUUGCCAGAGUGUUUUCUCGACAACAUGAUGUUUGAGAAAAUCUCAGAAAGCUUUACACGAGCACGGUCGCGACGACGGUGAGCUGGAAUAGGGAGGUAUGGGAAGAGAACACUGAUGGGAAGCAUUCCAUUGUCAAGAUCAUGGAACAAAGCAGUGACGUCAUCAAAAAGCUGGUCACGUACUUCUCGACCCAGUAGACAUCUACUUGCAGUCAAGAUGAUGAGACUGUCUAGCUCUUCCUUAAGAUCAACUUCACCACUCUCUCCCCAGUUGGAGAAGAAACCCUGCCAAGAAAAAAAACAAGCUAUAUUCAUAUUUAAAUAGUAUAUAUGUAAUAUGCUUCUUUUUGUCACUUGUAUAUAUGUAAUAUGCUAAAAUCAAUAAUAUGGCUAAAAUAAUAAUAAUAAAAAAAAUAUGGCUAAAAGAUCCAAAAAAUUGUAUGUAAUAUGCCAAAACAAGCUAUAAUAUACUUCAGCUUCAGUAAUCAUCAUAUCCACGUAAGCCUUUAGCUUGUUGACUCGGAGUGCCUCGCUGAAGAACCGAAACUGUUCCUGACGAACGGUGUAGUCGACAUCGAAAACAACUCCAGGGCCAAAAGUAGGCACGUUGAAUUUGUAAACUUCCUGCUGGCUGAGAACAGAAUCAUGAGCUUUGAAAAAAUGAGCGGAGACUUCAGGACCAAUGAGAAAAGUCAUCUUUUUGUGAAGAAGAUUCACUGUGAAGACACUUCCAAGCUUAGGGUAUUCAUCUCUAAGCAUUACGACAGGGCCUUUCAAGAACCGGAUAAGGCUUCCGAUCAAUGGAAGCCAAGCUUGAAGAGUGGGAGGAUGACGCUUCUUCCUGGACUGGGAAGUGAAGAAGGAGAAGAUGAGUUUGGAUAUAGCAAGUGUCGCCACUAUAACCAAACCCGUCUUUAAUAAGUUGUUGUCCGAAUCCAGUUCCAUUUUUUCGUUGUCUUUAACUGUGACGUUCAUUGACAAUAAAAAGUCAGAAUCACACAUGCAGAGGACGAGAGUAGUGUGUUUUGCCAUUUGAAUCCCCAUGCAUGAUUAGAUCAGAUUGGUUCUUGACUGAUAAUAAUGUUUAAGACUUUUUUUUUGUGUUUUUGAAAAAGGGCAUUCAAAUUAAAAACGUAGAAACAUAAUGUUUAAGACUGAUAAUAAUGUUUAAGACUUUAUACGAGAAUAAUAAUGUUUAAGACCUUAUACGAGAAAACGAGAACAAUUAAGUGAAGAUCGAUACACAAAGCUUAGAGAAACGAAAAGCACUAUUAUUGGUUGGUGUAAGAGGAGAUUCCAAUCAGUGACAAAAAAUAUAAAAAUAAGAAGAGAUUCCAAUAAGCUUACUUUGGAGGAGUUAAUCGUUGAAGAUGACCCAAGUUUCAGAAAUUAACUUUAUCUCUUAAGAUGUUAUUACAAAUGAUUACAACUUAUAUAGCCAAACAAAAUAAUUUUAAGGGCUUGCUUUAGGUUGAAUCAUUUCGGAGAAGAGCAAAGCGGUUCUAAAUAAAGAUGGGUUGAGAUGGAUGAGAAAUUGACACCUUUGCUUUUGUUUUUGAUGUAAUUUAUUAUGUAUUUUUUAUUAAUCUCUUAUGUAUUGUCGCUUAUGGUGACAUUACAUUACCUUUUGUAAAACUAUGGGUGCAUGUGCACCCUGUGUCUUGUUACUAGCUUCGUCCUUCGCCAUAUGUAGAAUAGUUUUGACUGCAAGGCAUUUGUAUCAUUUGACUGUAGUUGUCUAGAUAGUCAAUCCAUUCUUCUUGAUUGAAUCUUUUAGCAAUUAAGCCCGCUUUGAGCUUAUCAAAGGAUCCAUCAUAAUUAAGUUUAGUACGAAAGAUCCAAUUACCACCUAGAACAUUCAUCUCCAGGGUGUAAGGUACUAAGACCAACCGCAACGGAAGCCCUUAGCGAUUCCUAAGGGUCAUUACCAAAGUUAAUGGUAAUAUAAAAACUAUAUUUCAGCAUAAUUAUCUAAGGAUCAACCCGUAAGUAAGGGGUCGAGGGAGCUGAACCUUGGGCGACUUGGCAGGUGGGUAUUGGCGGAAGAUUCAUUCGUCUUUGGUGUAGACGGAAAAAAAAUUCAUUUUCGACGAAGGAGAGAAAAAAAAGAAAGUGUCGAGAAAAGGCGAUAAAAGGCGAUUUCCAAUCGAUUUUGACGAAGGUAAAUUGAAGCUUUCUUUUGCUGUUUUUUCGAUUUAGAUUAGGUUACAUGUUGUUUCCCUCUGAAAUUAGGGUUCUGAUUUGUGUUUUCAAUCGAUUUGUGGACAAAAACGUUUGAAAUUAGGGUUUUAAAGAUGGGGGUUUAGGCUGCUAGAAUGAUGAAUAUUAAAACUGAUCACAAUCUACCUGAAAGUUGCAUGAACGAAUGCGGGUGCGGGUAUUAGUUUAUUUCUUUGUGGGUUGAGCGGGUCAAAAUUUUAACUAAAAAAAAAAGAAACGAUCCGUGGGUUGGCGGGUCGGGUUGACCCGCGAACCCAUGCCUACCCACGGGUUAUGAUUUGCAAUCAAAUGGUCCCAACUACAAAACCAACCAUAACCACAUAUUCUGUAUUUUUCUUUUGUCCCACGUGGGAAUUGAGACGCACCCUUAUGCUAGAGUGACUGGACAAAGUCGCAAAGUCACGUCAGUAUCGAGUCAUCGAAAAUAUAGUUUUCGUUUAAAAAGUAACUUUUUUAUAAACUCUAUAUAGAAGACUAUGGGAGGAUUGGUGAUUUUGUAUUGUUCCUUUUUUUUUUUUCUCAACUUCAAUUUUCAAUUAACCAAAUAUGAAAUACAAGAUUACAACCUUGACGAGAUUUUAACCCCACGUACAAUGUCGAGAUCAAGUAUCACCCAUGAACACUUAGAAAGAUCCUACCCUAGCGAAUCUUAGACGACAUUGUAUUUUCCUCCACAAUGAGAGCGAGUUCAUCCCACGACCCGGAAUAAACCACCUCUUACACCCCUAAAUUCGACCUCGAAAUACAGAGACAAUAAUUAAACAGACGGGACAAUAAGACUCAAUUGAUUCCAAACUAAGUCCAAACUAAUGGUCGCCUUAUGUUACGAGUUGAGUCCGUGGACCACAAUAUCACCACCAGAGGUGCAUUCCAAUCUGAGUCUCACAUCCUCCGCCAAUCACUAUCCUGGUUCUCAGCCUAAAACCGGACACCAAGACCGGAUUGAAAUUGCGGACCUUGAUAACAGCAAACGAGGCAGAGUACUAAACGCGACUUCAAGAGGUGCGGAGUUCAUACCACCGGAAAACGACCACAAGACCAUCGCCGGUGCUGGGAAGUAGAAGCUCUGCCGCGUUUCACCAGCAAGGACCCUCUCCUUCGGUUGACAACUCCAUUGUUGAAGGGCUUUGCCAUGCGUCGCACAAUCACACCACUCCUCCAAACGUCUCACCUUCGCAUGGGAAGGAGAGAUCCUAGGUGAAGGAGACGUCAAACCCAAACCACGCGCCGUUAUCGUGAAAGUUCUGUCAUAUAUCUGGAAAUUGGAAAACUUGGAUCUGACCGAACCUUCGGUCCUAAAAGUCGACUCUCAUCACCACCAUCCCGCCAUGAGUCUCGCCGCCCCUCCAUAGAAAGCAGGGCCCCGCCUCCAUUGCAUACAGUGAAUGCUCCGGAAGAGGACUCCACAGGCACAAUAACGACAUGCAUAUCGACCUAGGGGAAAAUAGAAGGGGUGAGAGCAAAAGGAAAACGAGUUUGUAAAGGAAGAAGGUGCGCCCCCGACGCACCGGAGCUAGGGUUUUAUUUUUGUCGGUGUUGCUUCUUUAGAGAGAAGGGAGAGCAGAGAGACUUUUUUUAUUUUUUUGGAAACUUUUGACAGUGAUUUUGUAUUGUUCUCAAUUUUCAUUAUUAUUAUGAUUAAAAAUUAGAUGCCGAGGUUAUAUAUAAACUAUAUUUGUUAUUUAAUCGGCUAUGAUUAAAAACUUGGGAGGCCAUUCAAGCUUUAAUUGUAUUCGAAAUUGGUGGUUUAAUGAUCUUGUUAAAUGAUGACUGGUCUAACCAGACCAUCUAACCACUAAUCCAAAUAUAUAUACCAAAUAAAUUAUGUGUUUAACAUUAUAACAAACUAGAGAAAUGUAGUGUAAUAGUAAAAUUAUACAUUACUAGAGUCUUUAUCUGCGGUACGCGCGAAAAAUGGGCUAUUUCAAUUUUGUGUUUGAUUUGAAAUAUUUUAUUACUAUUAAUAAUUUUUAUGCUAAGAAUAAUUAAGUUUUGAUUGGAUGUUGAUAUUUUUUAUAUGUUUCCCAUAGAUGGGAAACUAAUAUUUGGGAAGAAAAAGGUGGAAAUAUUUUUGGGUGCACUUAUUAUAUCCGAAUUAGAAUACAUUACUUGGUGGGAUAAGAUAUAAUUAUAAAUCUUGAAAUAUUAUGGAUCGUUUAUGGUGCGUUUAUAUUUUUUUUGUGUAUUGUAUUUGUAGUGAUUGUGUCUUUUGCCAUUGUGUGCUUGGCAAGUAAUUGACUGUUGAAGGAUAAUUGAGACAUAUCAAUUGUUUAUUGCUAAUUGUUGUUGAUAGUUAAUUUUCGAUUAUAAGUUACAAUGUUUUUGUUUAGAAUGGGAGCAUUGUAUCUUCUAAAAUGGUGGAAAAGUUGGUGAGUAUCAAGUUUAUGUUACUAAACUUGAUGAUAGAAUGAAGAUAUGUGGCAAAUUUGGAUUAAUGUGGCAAAUUUUUAAUUCUGAAUAAAAAAGCACCAUAAAUAAAAUGUUACCUUUGUUUCAUAGUAUAAGUUAUUUUAUAAAUUUGAGAAAAAAGAUAUUUUAAAAAUAUUUUUUGUUUCAAAAUAUAUGUUUUCGUAUUUCUAAACAACUU
rnacentral:lncRNA from 1 species